UAGAUCCGGCCCGCCCGGCCGCGGCGUGGUGGAGCCAUGGCUCAAGAGUUAUCUGCAUUUUGUUUUAUGGACGUUUCAGUGUUUGUUAUGCAAGCUAGGAAGUGAUUCCAGGAUAUGUCUCUGUUAUCAAUUUCGUCGUGUUAUGAGGAUAUUGCUUGUACUCUGGUGUACUCAUGUUACCAUGCUGUGCCAAGUAAAGAACCUUUGCUAUAUGCCACCCUUGUUAAAUUUGUCUCCAUGGCUUAAUUUUGGUUCGAAUGGUCUACUGUAUUGUGCUGAUGGUUAUUUCUGUGUAUGUCUGUUUGUGUCGUGCCAUUGUUAUUGCCAAAGGGCAUGGUAAUUGUAGUGAACUGGCUGCUAGUCAUGCUAUCUAGUUUAUGUUUGUGUUAGUUGGGUUUUUUCUGGAGAUAUGUUGUUGCAGACCACUUAGCAGAGAGAGAGAGAGGGAUGUGAUUUGAUGAUUGUUUUCUUGAUUUGCACUAACUACUAAGGUAUUUCAUGUCCCUGUAAGUUCUGACAUGAGGUUUUUUUUCCUACCAGCAUGUGUUUAACGUAGUUGGUUUAUAUUUUGUAAGCAGGGUCAGCUUUUGUAACCCUGUUUACAUGUAGAGUGUAUGGCUGUGAGUUCACAGAUAGUCUAUCCAUGCUUCAGAUACAUGGCGUGUAGUACAGUUUGGAGUUCACUUCUGGUUUAACCAUGCCUUCGCUUGCCAGUUACCAACUCAAUUACAGUUUUGAGUACUGUAUUAUGACUUGCUGUUUGAGUUGUACAAAUUGACAUACUGAUUAGCUAUAGUUUUGCUGAUAAAUUAUGUACAGUGAUAGGAGUGCCUCAGAGCCAUGCCUCUGUCUAGUCGGUACAAACUAUAUUUCCCCUAUAGGAGGAGCUGAUGUAUUUUCAAAUUUAGCUGGAGCUUACGGCUGUGACCAAAAUAUGAGCUAUAGUAUUAUGAGCUAGUGUCUUAAAUACAGUCUUCCUAGCGUCAGAGAAUCGCCACAGGUUCUGUAGUUUUGGUUUCUGAACACACGUUGAGCCAACUGAUUUUGUCUAGGAUUCCUGGUUACUUGUAGUUAUUGUGCAAAGUUGGAAUACCCAGUCUGCCUUUGCGUGCUACUAGAAUGAGUCUUCUAUGUUGAAUCAUCACUGAUCCAUCUGCUUAUAUGUAUAGUGUUCUUCAUGGUUUAAGCAUCCCUGAUUUGUUUGUGUGUGCAUUUGACAGUUCAUGACUGUUCAUCAUAUGUACUGUGUUGAAUGACGAUCACUUUCAGUAUUACAAUUUGGCUGUUCUUCGUUCUGUUUAGUUGCAUUUUAUGGCUGUCUGUUGAUAAUUAUGAAUGUUAAAUGAAUGCCACCGUUCACCUUUAGCUCUUCUAUUUUGAAUCAUCAGACAAGCCAUGGCUUUUCACCUUUAGCUAUGUCUAGCAAAUUUGCUUUCUCUAUACCCCGUUCCUUUAGAUUGCUCUGUAGCUAGUGUCUUUAAGCGAUGCUAACCUUCUUGAUCGGGGUCUUCUUUCCGCCGGUUUUGCUCUGUUAAACUGUCUCUUUUGUUGACCAUCUCGAGCGAUGAAAUUGCUGGAUUACAUUGUCUGCUGGGGUUUGCUUAGGCAAGUACUCCCUCCGUCCCAUAAUAUAAUAUAUGAGUGUUUUUGACACUAAUGUAGUGUCGAAAACACACUAGUGUAAAAAACGCUCUUAUAUUAUAGGACGGAGGGAGUAUGUUUGAACAAGUUUCACUUUCCUUGUACGAGUGAGUAUUUAUUCCACACAACACGCUAACAUAUUACAAGCAAAAGAACCAAAAAGGUCUGGCAUAAACUCAAAACCGUACUCCUAUACAUACUGAAGAGAGGGCACUCUUCUUCCCCCUCCCCACUGAAAAAUACAAAUAAAGCCAACAACUUCUUAACAUCUAGGUCAAAGAAAAAAAAACCAACCCUGAGAAUCUGAACCAAUCUUCCCCGCUCCAGCCUCCCGGCGGGAGGCGGAGGGGGGCCAAAGAACUUAGAGGUGUAGAUAUCGCUGCCCUGCCUAUCGCCGACGACGAGGAGGAGGUUCGUCGACGAUCAUACCGUGUAGCUCUGGUUUAUUGUCUCGAUGUCGAGCCCCUUGAGCUUGACGACCGACUCGACGUGGCCCUUGAGCGUGUGCAGCUCCCUGAGCCUGGCCACCUCGGCCCGCUUGGCGGCCUGCUCGGCGAUCUCCGAGAGCUCGCGGUAGCCGUUGUUGUCGGUGUACAUGUCGGAGUUGCUGCUGCCUUGGUUGAGGCCGUGCAGCGUCCUCUGCGCCGUCGCCCACUGCGCCUCCCUCUCCACCUUGCCGUAGUCGUUCUUGUUGGUGAAGGCCGUCUGCGACACCAUUGUCAAUCAGUCAGUGAGAAUUCCUGCUAAUGGAAAUGGAGCUUGCAAAUGGAGCAAUGGAGAUGGUAGUGGCUUGCCUUGUUGUUGAUGUUGUUCCAGGCCCUGCCGCUGAGGGCGUAGCGGAUGAUGAACUUGAGGAUGUCGAGCGGGAUGUAGGUGACGACGGUGAAGGCCCAGAUGGAGAGCCCCCACCCCCACCCGAUCCCCUGCAUCUUGCAGAACUCCCAGUUGGCGUACACGGCGAUGCACGUCGCCAGCAGCUGCGCCACGAAGAAGGCGAUCACCAGCAGCGCCCCCGGCCGCUCCACGAACGACCAGCUCCGCGACCGCGUCACGAAGAUGAGCGCCUGGCUGAUGAUGCUCACCUGCAGGUACAGCGCCGCCAUCAUCUCCUUCUCGUUCUCCCGGAUCGACCGCACCCCGAACGUCUCCUGCAUCCAUCGUUCUCCCGGAUUUCAGCCAUCUUCUUAUGAUCAUUCAUGGCGGACAGUCGGAGGAAGAAGACGAGUAGGUAGGUACCGGGAAGAACUCGGUGUCGUGGGCGAGGUAGAAGAAGAGCACGGUGAUGAGGGCCAUGUAGGUGCCGAGGACGACGCCGGUGGCGAAGAUCUCCUUGAGCUUCCACGAGUCGGGGGUGGGCGACGGCUUCACGCGGUCCUUGGAGAUGGUCAUGAUGGUGCCGUCGUUGAGGAUGGCGAUGACGAGCACCAUGAAGGGCGCGAAGUCGAACUUCCACAGCAGCGCCACCAGCAUGAACCCGAGAACGAUCCGGAUGGUGAUGGACACGGCGUAGAUGGUGUAGUUCUUCAUCCGCUGGAAGAUGGCGCGGCUGGUGAGCACCGCGCUCACGAUCACGCUCAGCCCGGGCUCCGUCAGCACGAUGUCCGACGCCGACCGCGCCGCGUCCGUCGCGUCGUCCACCGCGAUCCCGAUGUCCGCCUUCUUCAGCGCCGGCGCGUCGUUCACGCCGUCCCCGGUCAUGCCGCAGAUGUGCUUCCGGUCCUGCAGCCGCUUCACGAUCUCGUACUUGUGCUCCGGGAACACCCCGGCGAACCCGUCCGCCUUCUCGAUCAGCUCGUCGAUGGGGAGCCCGCUCAUCUCCGUGCUCUUGUCGCCCAGCAGCGUGGUGGACGGGUACAUGUUGGUGCCCAUGCCCAACCGCCGCGCCGUCUCCUUGCCGAUGGCCAGCUGGUCGCCGGUGAUCAUCUUCACGUUCACGCCCAGGUGCAGCGCGCGCCGGAUCGUCUCCGCGCUGUCGUGCCGCGGCGGGUCGAACAGCGGCAGCAGCCCCACGAACUGCCACGGCUCGCCGGGGCUGUCCUUGUUCUUGGCCGGCACCGCCUGGUACGACACGCCCAGCGACCGGAGGCCCCGGUCGGCGUACUGGUCAAUCAGGCCGUGGACCCUCUUCUCGGCCUCCUUGGGCAUCCGGCACAGCUCGAUGAUCUGCUCCGGCGCGCCCUUGCUGAUCCGGUGCCAGUCGCCCUUGCCGUCGAUGUAGGUGAUGGCCGUGCGCUUCUCCACGGGGUUGAAGGGGAGGAAGUGCACCUCCUGGAUGCCGGCGCGGGCCUCCUUGGCGUCGGCGAGCAUGCCGACGAUGCACGUGUCGAUGGCGUCCUGGUUCUCCACGCGGGACGCCCUGGCGGCGUAGAGGAGCACCGUGUCCUUGUCUAUCCCUUUGCCGUACACCUCGAUGAGCGUCUUGUCGACGGUGAGCUUGUUGAGCGUGAGGGUGCCCGUCUUGUCGCUGCACAGAACGUCCAUGCCGGCCAUCUCCUCGAUGGCGGUCAUGCGCUUGGUGAUGGCGCCCUGCUGCGACAGCCGGUGGGAGCCGAUGGCCAUGGUGACGGACAGCACGGUGGGCAUGGCGAUGGGGAUGCCGCCGAUGAGGAGCACGAGCAGGUUGUCGAUGCCGUCGCGGUAGGCGCGGUGCUGGAUCGGGUACAUGACCACCACCUCCACCAGCAUCCCGGCGGCGAUGGAGAUGAUGCAGAAGUUGCCGAUGGCGGUGAGCACCUGCUGGAAGUGGCCGACGUUGUUGGUGCUGUCGACGAGGUGCGCCGCCUUGCCGAAGAAGGUGUGCACGCCGGUGGCGAUGACGACGGCCUCGAUCUCGCCCUGCUUCACCGUGGACCCGGAGAAGACGCCCUGGCCGGCGUGCUUGUUCACGGCCAUGGACUCCCCGGUGAGCGCGGCCUGGUCGACCUUGAGCGGGUCGCCCUCGAGCAGCCGGGCGUCGGCGGGGAUGAUGUCCCCGAGCUUGAUGCUGAUGACGUCGCCGGGGACGAGGAAGGAGGCGUCCAUCUCGCUCCACUUGCCGUCCCUCAAGCACUUGGUCUUGGGCGCCAGCCCGGCCAUGAGGGCGGCGGCGGCGUUCCCGGCGUUGUUCUCCUCGAUGAAGCUGAUGGUGGAGUUGAUGAAGAGCAGGGUGACGAUGCCGACGAAGUCCUGCCAGUCGGGGGGCUUGCCGCCGCCGUUGGCGAGCACGAUGGCCAUGACGGCGGCGGCCUCCAUGACCCACGACAGCGGGUUCCACAUGAAGCCGAGGAACUUGAGCAGCUUGCUCUCCGUCUUCUCCUCCAGCUUGUUGGGCCCGAAGAUGGUGAGCCGGUUCUGCGCCUCCGUGCCGGUCAGCCCCUGCUUGCUGCACUUGAGGUGGGCGAACACCUCCUGCACCGGGAUGGUCUCCAGGUCCACCGUCUCGUUCUUCACGUCCUCCAGCGUCAUGGACGCCAUGGCGCCGGCCUGCUGCCUCGCGGCCUCCGCCGGCCUCGCCCGCUCCUUCUUGGCCGCCUUGCUGCCCUGGCGUGUGCGUGGGUGGGAGUGGCCGCGCGCGCGCGGGGAGGGGAGGGGAGGAGAGGGGAGGGGAGGCGCGCGCUGCUGCUGCUGGUGCUGGUGGUCUGCGGCGGCGGCUGGUGGGCUGAGCUGUGGUGUGCUGGUGGCGCGCCGAGCAAGCUGGGAGCGAGUGGGGGGUUAGGAGUUCAUGGAUGGGGAGGAGGGAGGGAGGGAGGGGGGAGGUGGCGGUCCGUGCGGUGCUUGAAGAAGACGAGGAGGGGGGCGGGCGGGCGCCCCAGGAUCCUUAUACCGCGCCACCGGGCUCGCCGCGGGCGGGGGUAGCUCACUGCCGCACGACCGGUCCACGCCGCAUGCAGCGGCCCCGAGCUCCCAUCGCGCGACCCGCGCGGCUCACCCCUGCUCUUCUCCCUUCAUGCGCUUGCUGCUGUCCAGUGCAGUGCAGUGCAGCGCACACACAGCUGGGUUUUUCUUCCACUAGUUACGAGCGAGGCACCGCCACCAUCACAUAGCCCACACCUUCACAUGCACAUCUUUUCUCUUUUUUAUUUAUAACAUGGUAAAGUCGUUUUAGAAUGUUGCGGGGAGUUCUUUGGGUAAUCUGGAACAGUCUUGCUAAAUCUCAGUCAACUGAGAAUUGAUGUCGAUGCUAUAUCCGUGAGAUCUUGCAUUAAGAUCCGUGCAAAAUUUUUGUUUUAGCUUUUCCUUUUUCUUUCUUGUAUGUUAUGCCACUUGACUUAGACUUGGUUGGAUCUCAGUCGACUGAGACCUAACCACACCCACUCUAAAAAGGCAAUGUCCUUAUUUGAUCUUUGCCAGAACUGGAUCCCAAAAAACCUACUCCCUUCGUCCGAAAAUACUUGUCGGAGAAAUGGAUGUAUCUAGAUGUAUUUUAGUUCUACAUAUAUCCAUAUUUAACCAUUGCUCCGACAAGUAUUUUGGGGCGGAGGGAGUAUAUUGGUAAAGAUCGUGCCGGUUGUUUCCGUUGGUGUGCUGCUUUACUUUGGUCGUUAUGAAAAACUAGAAAUAGAUCUUGUUUUCAAAGCAGUUUAGCUAAAGAUCCUACCGAUAUAAUCUUUAUUCUAUAUUCUAUGCUCUCUGUUGAAUAUUUGGGUUGUUCUUCAGAAAAUAUGAGUGAUAAACAUCUUAGGGAAGUGACUAAGAGGCUGACCUAAGUGGCGUGCGAUGUCUAUGGUGGUGCUCAUGGCUGGGCGCGACUGUGAUGAGAAUCUACGCAAUCUGUUCCGUCAGUGUGGCUCUUCAGUUUGUCUAAUUUUAGGCUUUUGUUGUUCUGUGUUUAGUGGUGUUGGGAGGUUCUUGGUGCUUAGUAGUAGAAGCUUCUUUCCCCAGUAUGUCCUCCCGUGGUUCCGAGAGAGCAUUCUAUAGAUAUAGCUAGAUAUUUAAGGAUGCAUGCUGUCAUUUUUUAUGUUGCAAUCUAUUGCAUCAGUUAAGUGUAAAAAGUUGUUGGUUGCGUGAUGUAUAGCUCCAUUUUCAUCGUGUUCAUUGGGAGCCAACCGGCUUGGACGGAAUAGCCGAUGGAAACGAGGCCUGACGUACCGCAGAACGGAGGAAACGGCCUUGUGUUCGAUCGGCCACGAUCGAAACAGGAUCAUGUUCAUCGGGAGGGGUCUUGCGUACCGCAAAACGGAGGAAACGAACUUCUCUUGGACCUCCUACGGUCGAAACGGGGUCCUGUUGAUCGGGAGGGGUGAGGGAGUCCUGAUUUACGGGCUCCUCGGGCGUCCGGGCUAUGUGACAUGGGUCGGACUGAUGGGCCGUGAAGGUACGAGAUGGAAGGCUUUCCCCGAGUCCGGAUGGGACUCUCUUUGGCGUGGAAGGCAAGCUUGGCGUGCGGAUAUGAAGAUUCCUUUCUCUGUAAACCGACUCUGUACAACCGUAGCCCCCUCCGGUGUCUAUAUAAACCAGAGGGUUUAGUCCGUAGAGAUCAUCAUAAUCAUACAGGCUAGACAUCUAGAGUUUAGCCACUACGAUCUUGAGGUAGAUCAACUCUUGUAACCCCUAUACUCAUCAAAGUCAAUCAAGCAGGAAGUAGGGUAUUACCUCCAUCAAGAGGGCUCGAACCUGGGUAAACAUCGUGUCCCCUGCCUCCUGUUACCUUCGAUCCUUAGACGCACAGUUUGGGACCCCCUACCCGAGAUCUGCCGGUUUUGACACCGACAUUGGUGCUUUCAUUGAGAGUUCCUCUGUGGCGUCAACAACAGGGAUGAUGGCUCGCCUUGUCAUCAAGGACAAUAUCACUUCCGGAGGAGCCCUAGUUUCAGGGCAAACCCUCCGGCUCGGCAGCUUCACCUUGGGUGCCCGUCCGGCCGUUAAGCCAAAGGCAACCCCCCGAGUCGCCGAAAACCAUCUCCGUAUCGGCCCCGAAUACUCCGACAAGAUGGAUCCAGCAGAUCUAUCGUCUUUGAACGAGCUGCUAGAUCGCAUCGCCGCCCUGGGGGUCUCAACCGACUAUGAUCGGAUCAGGCUUAAACCCGAUUAGAGAGAAAUCAAAUCUCCACCAAUCACCCAUCAGGUAGCGGUUGUGGAGGAACAAGCCGACAAUGACUCUUCUCCUACGUUGAGGACAAAUUAUGUUCAGAUUUCCGAGUCUAGAGAGCCGGACACCCAUCUUCGGGAGGACACCCCUUGUCCUCCGAACACAAAAUCGGACGUAAAGCCUGAUAAUUCACUACACUCUGGAGCCCGGGCGGCAACCCCAGAAAUUCUUCAAACUCCGGAUUCCACAGUGGGUCAGGGUGCGAAUUUAAGCCCGCCCACCCACCACAAGCAAUAUUCGCCAAGCAAUUCUGGCCCUCCAGACAUAUGUGACCUAAUGUAUGUGCGACAGCAGCCUCUAGAGACAGUCCAUCACUUUUGGGCCAGAUUCCUCCUUGUUAAAAACAAGAUAAAAGACUGCUGCGACGACGACACAAUUUCAGUAUUUCGCAACAACUGUACGGAUGAGGGAAUCCUUGAUGCUCUCAACCGCCGUCGCGUACUGCACUUUGCAGAUUUGGCACACAUAGUGCAGAAGUACUGCGCAAUGGAAAGCGCCUGGAAAACUCAAAUCGCUUGCUGGGAACCGCAGGCCUUUAAGCCAUCUCCCGGACGAGCAAAAAGGACGCCCCCUCACGGGUCACCUGAUCGUCAUCCCAUAGACAAGAAGAUUAAGCCCUUUACGGGACAUAGAACUGUCUUCGAGGAAUGGCUCGAUGGGCCAUGUAAAAUAAACACGACGCCAAAUACCGAACCAACGCAUAGCCUAUGGGCAUGUUGGAUACUACGACAAGUGGCCAAGAGCGGCGAGGGUAUCCUCACCAACACUACUCGAGAGAAGUACUAUUUAGAGGACGACGAUCCUGAAGUACUCACGGUCUUCGAGACCUUCUCAUCAAAUAAUCGGCGCAUACGGGCGCUCCGCGACCUCGCCGAAGUCUACCAAGUAGUAGCAAUAAACCCUUGAAACGAUACGGCGAUUACUUUCAAUGCCGAUGAUUAACCCAGAUCCCGCUCAGUCCGGGCACCAGCCGCUCUGGUCCUAAACCCAAUCGUGGACGGCUUUCGGCUCACUAAAGUGCUAAUGGACGGUGGCAGCGGACUGAACCUCAUCUAUGAGGACACGCUCAAUAAAAUGCAAAUGGACAGGAGUCGCAUUGAGCAGAGCAAUACAUCCUUCAGGGGAAUCAUCCCCAACAAGGAAGCAAGAUGCUCAGGGAAAAUUAAAUUGGAUGUGGUAUUCGGCACACCAGAAAACUAUAGGUCCGAAGAGAUAAUCUUCCAGGUGGCUCCUUUCAACAGUGGAUAUCAUGCCUUGUUAGGGAGAGACGCAUUCAAGCUAUACCUCAUUACGGGUAUAUGAAGCUUAAAAUGCCCGGGCCCAAUGGUGUUAUCACUAUCUCCAGUGAUCCGGACAUAGCACUCCGCGCCGAAAAUAAAACUGCAUCCCUAGCCCUUGAGGCACUGUCCGAAGCCCUAGCGGUUGAAGAACUCACCGCUCUGCGCUCCACAGUGGAUAGGGACGACGUAAUUCUUGAUAAAAGGCCCAAAUCCACCUCUUUCAAGCCAGCUGACGAAAUAGUCAAAUUUCAAGUUUACCCGACGGAUCCCAAGAAAAUAGCUUCCAUUGGGGCACAGGUGGACCCGACGGUCGACGCUGCACUACGCGCGUUCCUGCGCGAGAACUGGGACAUCUUCGCCGGCACCCCUCGGAUAUGCCAGGAAUCUCACGCGCGCUGGCCGAACAUAGUCUCAACAUACUGAAGGGAUACAAGCCGUUCAAGCAAACGCUCCGGUGAUUUUCCGAACCCAAACGACAGGCUAUGGGGGAGGAGCUAGCCAAGCUAUUUGAAGCCGGGUUCAUCAGAGAGAUCAAGCAUCCGGACUGGCUAGCAAACCUGGUCAUGGUACCAAAGAAGGACAAAUCCUGGCGCCUGUGUGUCGAUUUCAAAGACCUUAACAAGGCCUGUGAUACGUCUCCAACGUAUCUAUAAUUUAUGAAGUAUUCGUGCUAUUAUAUUAUCUGUUUUGGAUGUUUAUGGGCUUUACUAAACACUUUUAUAUUAUUUUUGGGACUAACCUAUUAACCGGAGGCCCAGCCCAAACUGCUGUUUUCUUGCCUAUUUCAGUGUUUCGAAGAAAAGGAAUAUCAAACGGAGUCCAAACGGAAUGAAACCUUCGGGAGAGUUAUUUUUGGAACGGAAGCAAUCCAGGAGACUUGGAGUAGACGUCAGGGAAGCUUCGAGGAAGCCACGAGGCAGGGAGGCGCGCCCUACCCCCCUGGGCGUGCCCCCCACCCUCGUGGGCCCCCCCGUGGCUCCCCUGACCGACUUCUUUCGCCUAUAUAUGUCCAUAUACCCUAAAAACAUCGAUGAACACAAUAGAUCGCGAGUUCCACCGCCGCAAGCCUCUGUAGCCACCAAAAACCAAUCGGGACCCUGUUCCGGCAUCCUGCCGGAGGGGGGAUCCCUCACCGGUGGCCAUCUUCAUCAUCCCGGCGCUCUCCAUGAUGAGGAGGGAGUAGUUCACCCUCGGGGCUGAGGGUAUGUAUCAGUAGCUAUGUGUUUGAUCUCUCUCUCUCGUGUUCUUGAUUUGGCACGAUCUUGAUGUAUCGCGAGCUUUGCUAUUAUAGUUGGAUCUUAUGAUGUUUCUCCCCCUCUACUCUCUUGUAAUGGAUUGAGUUUUUCCUUUGAAGUUAUCUUAUCGGAUUGAGUCUUUAAGGAUUUGAGAACACUUGAUGUAUGUCUUGCAUGUGCUUAUCUGUGGUGACAAUGGGAUAUUCACGUGAUCUACUUGAUGUAUGUUUUGGUGAUCAACUUGCGGGUUCUGUGACCUUGUCAACUUAUGCAUAGGGGUUGGCACACAUUUUCGUCUUGACUCUCCGGUAGAAAUUUUGGGGCACUCUUUGAUGAAGUACUUUGUGUUGGUUUGAAUAGAUGAAUCUGAGAUUGUGUGAUGCAUAUCGUAUAAUCAUACCCACGGAUACUUGAGGUGACAUUGGAGUAUCUAGGUGACAUUAGGGUUUUGGUUGAUUUGUGUCUUAAGGUGUUAUUCUAGUACGAACUCUAUGAUAGAUCGAACGGAAAGAAUAGCUUCGUGUUAUUUUACUACGGACUCUUGAAUAGAUUGAUCAGAAAGAAUUACUUUGAGGUGGUUUCGUACCCUACCAUAAUCUCUUCGUUUGUUCUCCGCUAUUAGUGGCUUUGGAGUGACUCUUUGUUGCAUGUUGAGGGAUAGUUAUAUGAUCCAUUUAUGUUAUUAUUGUUGAGAGAACUUGCACUAGUGAAAGUAUGAACCCUAGGCCUUGUUUCCUAGCAUUGCAAUACCGUUUACGCUCACUUUUACCACUUGCUACCUUGCUGUUUUUAUAUUUUCAGAUUACAAAAACCUAUAUCUACCAUCCAUAUUGCACUUGUAUCACCAUCUCUUCGCCGAACUAGUACACCUAUACAAUUUACCAUUGUAUUGGGUGUGUUGGGGACACAAGAGACUCUUUGUUAUUUGGUUGCAGGGUUGUUUGAGAGAGACCAUCUUCAUCCUACGCCUCCCACGGAUUGAUAAACCUUAGGUCAUCCACUUGAGGGAAAUUUGCUACUGUCCUACAAACCUCUGUACUUGGAGGCCCAACAACGUCUACAAGAAGAAGGUUGUGUAGUAGACAUCAAGCUCUUUCUGGCGCCGUUGCCCGGGAGGUUAGUGCUUGAAGGUAUAUCUUUAUAUCUUGCAAUCGAAUCUUUUAGUUUCUUGUUUUAUCACUAGUUUAGUCUAUAAAAUAAAACUACAAAAAAAUGGAAUUAAGGUUGCCUCAUAUGCUUCAUCUUUUUAAUGUCUUUCGUGAAAAUGAUGGGAAGGAAAAUUGUGCUCAAGUACUAGAAGAAGAAUUACAUAGAAUGCUUGGCAUAAAAUAUGUGAAUGAUGAGCAUGGUUGCAAUGUUGUUAGUAUGAAUUCUUUGAAUACCCAUGAUGCUAAUGAUAUGCAAAGCCACAAGCUUGGGGAUGCUAUGUUUGAUGAAGAUGAUAUGUUUAGUCCCCCAAGUUUUGAUGAGCAAAUUUAUUAUGAUGAAAGCAUGCCUCCUAUUUAUGAUGAUUAUUGUGAUGACACGUAUGUUAUAAAGAAUAAAGAUAACCAUGAAACUUGUCAUCAUGAUUUUAAUUUUCAAUUGGAUUAUGCCUCACAUGAUAGUUAUUUUGUUGAGUUCGCUCCCACUACUAUUGAUGAGAACAAAUUUGCUUUUGUGGAGAGUAAUAAAAUUUCUAUGCUUGUAGAUCAUGAAAAGAAUGCUUUACGUGAUAGUUAUAUUUUUGAAUUCAUUCAUGAUGCUACUGAAAAUUAUUUUGAGGGAGGAAUAUAUGCUUGUAGGAAUAGCAAAAAUAUCAACUUUCCUCUCUAUGUGCUUAAAGUUUUAAAGUUAUGCUUUUUUUGCCUUCCUAUGCUAGUUGAUUAUUGUUCCCAUAAGUUGUUUGCUCACAAAAUCCCUAUGCAUAGGAAGUGGGUUAGACUUAAAUGUGAUUGCCAUGUGUUUUAUGAUGCUCUCUUUAUGUUUCAAUUCUUAUCUUUUAGGUGAGCAUCAUUGAAAUCAUCAUGCCUAGCUAGGGGCGUUAAACGUUAGCGCUUGUUGGGAGGCAACCCAAUUUUUAUUUUUGUUCCUUGCUUUUUGUUCCUGUUUAGUAAUAAAUAAAUCACCUAGCCUCUGGUUAUAUGUGGUUUUAUGUUUUAAUUAGUGUUUGUGCCAAGUAAGACCUAUAGGAUCUUCUUGGAUGAUAAUUAUUUGAUCUUGCUGAAAAAAUCAGAAACUUCCUUCUCACGAAAACAAUUGUUAAAAAUCACCAGAACGUGAUAAAAUACUGAUUCCAAUUGCAGUAGAUCAAUAAACAAAUUAUCUAGGUCUUCCUAUUUUGGUAGAAUUUUCGAGUUACAGAAAGUUUGCGUUUGAUACGGAUUACUACAGACUGUUCUGUUUUUGACAGAUUCUGUUUUUCGUGUGUUGUUUGCUUAUUUUGAUGAAUCUAUGGCUAGUAUCGGAGGUUAUGAACCAUAGAGAAGUUGGAAUACAGUAGGUUUAACACCAAUAUAAAUAAAGAAUGAGUUCAUUACAGUACCUUUAAGUGGUGGUUUGUUUUAUUUCGCUAACGGAGCUCAUGAGAUUUUCUGUUGAGUUUUGUGUUGUGAAGUUUUCAAGUUUUGGGUAAAGAUUCGAUGGAAUAUGGAAUAAGGAGUGGAAAUAGCCUAAGAUUGGGGAUGCCCAAGGUACCCCAAGGUAAUAUUCAAGGACAACCAAAAGCCUAAGCUUGGGGAUGCCCCAGAUGGCAUCCCAUCUUUCGUCUUCGUUCAUCGGUAACUUUACUUGGAGCGUAAUUUUCUUUUGUUAGUAUUUGCUUGAUGUUAUUUAGAAUAAUGUUUUGCAUCUCUCUUUUCAAUAAAAAUGUCAAGGAUAGCUUUUACCAUGCUUAUUUUGCAAGUAUACAUGUUGCUGUUUCAAAACAGAAAGUUUAUCGCUGUUGCAAAAAUUCCCUAGAAAAGCCAGAAUAUGAUAAAAUGUUGAAAAUUUUGCAUAAUAAGCUCUGAUAAAUUUUCUACAGUGUGGUAGAAUUUCAUAAUGUUUGGAGUUAGGGAAGUAUGAUGAAUCUUGCAUUCUUUACAAACUGUACUGUUUUGGCAGAUUGCUGUUAUGUUUGCAUUGUUUGCAUAUGUUUGCUUAUUUAAUGAUUCUAUUGGAGGAUAGGAGUAUUAAAUAUGCAGAGACAUUUAGUAUGCAAUGUUGAAAUAAUAAUUUUAGUGAUUUGUUACAGUAGAGAAUGAUAAGGUUUUUGCAUUGGUUUAUACUAACUUAUCUCACGAGUUCUUGUUGAGUUUGGUGUGGAUGAAGCUUUCGAGAUUUAGGAAACCGUGAUAUAAAAGGAAUUAAGGAGACACAAAAGCUCAAGCUUGGGGAUGCCCAAGGCACCCCAAGAUAAUAUUUCAACAAGUCUCAAGCAUCUAAGCUUGGGGAUGCCCCGGUAGGCAUCCCACCUUUCUUCUUCAACAAUUAUCGGUUAGUAUUGGUUGAGCCUAAGUUUUUGCUUCUUCACAUGAUGAGUGCUAUCCUUGAAAUGUCGUUUUAUUUUGUUUUGCUUGCUGUUUGAAUAAUAUCCCAAGAUCUGAAAUUCUUAAAUGAGAGAGAGUCUUCACAAAGCUACAUAAUUAUUUAACUAUUCAUUGAUCUUCACUUGUAUCUUUUGUAGCGACCAGACCCCAAACAGUCUAAUCUUUGUGCAUCAGUGUCAUCCCUGGAUCGGUAAUGCUGACACGCACAGUACUUGAAGGAUUUAUAACAGAGUAGCAAUCACACACUUAUUACAUCGAAUGUCUCAAAAGAGAACUUAUUACAAUAAAUAUGGCUUAAGGCCAUCUAAUACGAUAACAGCGGAAGGCUUGGAAGAUAAAGUGAGUCCAUCAACUCCAACGGCAUCACUGAGUGAAAGACCACGACCUAAGGCUCCUUACUCGUCGUCUGGAAAGUCUGCAACAUGAUACGUUGCAGCCCGAAAACGGGUCAGCACAUGGAAUAUGCUGGCAAGGUAACACAAGAGAGUAAUGAACAGAAUAAAGCUAUCACUAUAUGCAUAUACGGCUGGUGGAGGCUGUAAGGUUAAUAUGUUUUGCGAAAAGCCAAUUUUUUCCUACAACAAAGGAAUAAAUUUUAUUUAACUACAAGGUUGGUUGAAAACAUUGAGAAUGGUAAACCCCAUCUCAAUCCCAAUUAAAAGGUAAUUAAUAACCCAACAAAAUUAAUUUUAUAUGGAGUGAUGAGAUCCACAUGAUAAUCCAAGAACCAGAUACUCAAGUUGUCCAUAACCGAGGACACGGCUAACCAUGAUUAGUUUGUACACUCUGCAGAGGUUUGCGCACUUUUCCCCACAAGACUCGAUCUCCUCCUUUUGAUUUCUCGCACUACAUGAUGUUUGAGAAACAGAUGACCGAGACACAGUCUUACCGAAGAGGUCCCCUUAACCGAUAGAUAGGCCUGUACACCUACAAUCCCCUACAUCUGCUAGCCCAUCAUGGAAAGGUUUCCCACAACUUACUCAACUAUGCUAGAGCCCAUAAUGGCAUGUGGCUGCACACAGAAGUUUCUAGCAUAAAUAAUCCUAUGAUCCCUUUGAGCCUGAGUGGUAGUCCAUAGGAGAAUCACACGGUACCCCGGGAUUUCCAAAAAUACAGACAACACUAGGUUCCCCAGGUGCCUUAGUCCACCCAAAUGUGUAUUUAAGUUGCCACCUUACGUUAAACCAUUAAGUAAACAAUCUCACAUCUGUCAUGGAAUACACUCAAACCCAAUCCACGUCUACGAGCAUAGCAUAGCAAUAUAAGCAACGUAGAAGUAACUCCCAUAGGUUUGAUAAUAAACAGGUGAAUAGGUACUACCUCAUCUACUUCCCAAUACCCACAAUUUAAUCAGAUCCUAACCAUGCAAUUGUUUGAGGAUUGGUCUAAUGCAAUAAAACUAGGUAGUAAAGAGGGUAUGAUCAAAGUGUUACUUGCCUUGCUGACGAUCCGCGAAACCUAGAGACUCGUAGUAGCACGCUUCGCACUCCGGGUACUCUAUCGCAAACAAACAAGCAUACAAUAAGCAAUCAAGCAAAGAGCACGGGUAAAACUCAAAUAAGAAAGUCUAACCAGAAAGUUCAACUUAAGAACUCCGGUUUGCAAAAAAAGAAUCAAAUAAAACAAAGCAAGAAAACUCAAACGGCGAAAGAAACAAGCUUCGUUUACUAAUCUGGACUAAAGUCAAAUUUUAUAGCAGCAAAAACUUGUUUAAGUUGAUUAAACAGAAAGAGGGUUUCGAGACGAAACUCUAGGCGCUUGAAUCGCCUGAUUCCGAUAAACGAGCGAAAAGAUAAACUAAAACAAAAAUCAGGUUAGAAAUCGCGAUCGAAAAUAAUCGCGGAAAAUCCGAGAAAAAGAAAAACUGACGAACAGACUAACGAACGAACGUUCAUUGUCUGCGGAUAAACGGUGAAAACCGUCUGUUAAAACGAAUGAACGAAUGGGCGUUCGCUAAUUAACUAAACAAAAAAAUGAUCUAACAAAAAACGCAUCUAGGGUUUUUACCGAAAAACCGAACCGGCCAAAGAAAACCGGCGGCGGCGGCGGCGAACUCCGGCGACGGCGGCGGGGUGGCGAGGCGACGGCGCNNNNNNNNNNNNNNNNNNNNNNNNNNNNNNNNNNNNNNNNNNNNNNNNNNNNNNNNNNNNNNNNNNNNNNNNNNNNNNNNNNNNNNNNNNNNNNNNNNNNNNNNNNNNNNNNNNNNNNNNNNNNNNNNNNNNNNNNNNNNNNNNNNNNNNNNNNNNNNNNNNNNNNNNNNNNNNNNNNNNNNNNNNNNNNNNNNNNNNNNNNNNNNNNNNNNNNNNNNNNNNNNNNNNNNNNNNNNNNNNNNNNNNNNNNNNNNNNNNNNNNNNNNNNNNNNNNNNNNNNNNNNNNNNNNNNNNNNNNNNNNNNNNNNNNNNNNNNNNNNNNNNNNNNNNNNNNNNNNNNNNNNNNNNNNNNNNNNNNNNNNNNNNNNNNNNNNNNNNUAGGGUUUCGGAAGGGUCGGGCUGGUGGGCUGCGGCCUCGGCCUCGGCGGCUUAUAAAGCCCCCCCGGGCGGAGUCCCGGGCGAGUACGACCCAAAGUCGGUUUCCCUUUUUUUUUAAAUUAUUCCGCGCAGAAAAAUGAAUAAAAGAAAUACUAAGCGGACUCCAAAAAUCCUGAAAUAAAUUUUCCUUGUCCUCUAAAAAUCUACCGGACAAGGUGAACAUUUAUUUGGGACUCUAAUGCAAUUUUGAAAAACGCAUAUUUUUCCUAAUUCAAAUAAAAUAGCGAUGAAAAUCCGAAUAAAAUUCUUAUUUGAUUUUAAUAUUAAAUCUCCACUAUUUCUUUAGUUUGAGGAAGUCAUUUUAUCCUCUCUCUUUUAUUUUCAUAAAAUAAAUAUUCGAAGAGAAAAUAAUUAAAAUCAAACGAUCGUCUUUUCAAAAUUCGAGAAAAACUCAAAUAUGAAAAUAACGAAAUUCCCAACUCUCUCCGUGGGUCCUUGAGUUGCGUAGAAUUUCUAGGAUCAAACCAAAAUGCAAUAACAUAUGAUACGCAAUGAUGAUCUAAUGCAUAACAUUCCAAAUUGAAAAUUUGGGAUGUUACAUCUUUUUGGAGUAGUUUGUCAUUUACUCGUGUGCUUCACUUAUAUCCUAUGAGUAAAUAGUUGAAUGAUUUGAAUAUCAUAAAUCUGAAAUUAUAUAUGUUUCAUAUGCCCUUCCCAUGGGGAGUAAUGCCUUCACAUAUAAGAAGUAGAGGUGGUAAAUUUAUUGAAGGUUAGAAAACAUUGUAUUGGUUCACUUGAAUAAUUCAUGAAAGAAUAUUGAAGGAAGAGAGAUUUCACAUAUAAAUAUACUAUCUUGGACAUCUUCUAUGAUUGUGAGCCCCAUUAAUUAUUUUCAAACCUGAGCAAAUUAGUUGAAGUUGGACAAGGAAGACAAUAUAAUGAGUUAUGCUUGGGUAUAUUUGUAUAGAAGUUAUAUUGUUAUGGAUCCUCUAACAUGUGGUGCUUGCUAUUUAGAAUCCUUUGCUAGCCAAAAUAUCUGUACUAAUCGGGAAUACUGCUUGUGCAUCCAAAAUCCUUGAACCAAGUUCCUUCCAUGAGUGUCCACCAUAUCUACCUAUAUGCGGUAUUUACCUGCCAUUCCAAGUAAAUUUGCAUGUGCCAAACUCUAAACUUUCAAAUAAUAAUCUGUUUUGUAUGCCCGAAUCGCUCAUGUAGCGACUAAGGGCUGUCAGUAUCUUCCAUGCUAGGUGGGUUAUUCUCACGAUGAGUGGACUCCACUCAUCAUUCACGAGAAAAUGGCUGGUAAAUGGGAUGCCCAGUCCUAUGAUCAAAAGAUCAAAAACAAAAUCGCAAAUAAUUUAAACAAACUCCCCCAGGAUUGUUGAUACACUACAAGAAAUAUGUCAACUUGUGACCCUCACUAUUGGCCGCUGAAAGGUCAUAGUUUUUCAUUUGCGACCUUUUUUGACCAAAAACAGAAGGUCAAAAGCUGGCAGUCGUAAACUGAAAUUAACGACCUUCUGUAAAAGGUCGUUGGUUCUUCGACCAAAAUUUUGGUCACUAGCAGCCUCCCCAGACCACGUAGGCAUCCAGCGUGCCAAGCUGAUGUGGCACAAGAAUCAGCCUGGUCCAAUUCGGUGUUUAUUUGGGCCGAGCCCAUUAAUUCAUCCCAUUUAUAUAUUUUUUCCUAUGAAUUUUUUGUCAGCUUCAUGGAACAAGCCCAACAUUGCAGCCUUUUUAUUUUUGGGCCAUGGCCUUUUUAUCUCAACAGUUUCAUUUUUUCCUUUUUUAUAAAGUGGGUUCACUAGUUAGGUGGGUCCCCAUUGUCAGGUUAUAGUACUGGGUCCUAGCCAUCAGGGCAAUAUUCUUCAAUUUUUUAAUUUAACGCAAAUAAAUACCUAGUAUUUAAAUUGGCACACAGAACACACGAAAUACUUCAAAUAUUAUCAACCAUCAAAGCGUUACAUCAUAUAACACACAUACAAAUGUGAUCAGCAUCAAGUUUACAAUCAGAUAACAAGCUCCACAAGUGUACAAUCACAUGAGCCAGAUUCUGCUACAUCAUAUAACACACAUACAAAUAGGAGCAGCAGAAAGGGCUUCAUUACUCUCAGAACUAGCUCCAAUGAGCUAGAACUAUUCUUCCUCCGACUUCUUUGUCCUGAUGCUCACGAAGAAACAUGAAAGCCAGCAUCUGCAUGUUACAGAACAAAAUGUUUAGGAACAAAAUAUAAGUAAAUCUAACAGCAUAUUUAACAAUAAAUAACAGAAUAAUGAAGUUAAUGAGACAUUUUAGAAUCAACUUGACAGUUGACUAUAAUGUUUGCAUUGGACACAUCCAAAACUAAAAUUAUACAUAAAUGCCUAAAUUCCAAUGCCCAAUGCCUCAGUUUAGUAAACACUAAGGGUACAUAGUAAAGAUUUGACACAACCAGAACUGAAAUCAUUUACUCUAUCAAGCAACAAUGAUGCAGCACACAAGAAAAGAGAGAUGCACAACGGAGCAGCAUCGUAUAUGACACAAUAUGGACACUGCAAGCUCACCGAAGAACUUGUGGUCGCCACCGUACACAGCCGCCAUAACGCCGGUCACCUCGUUGAUCUUGUCCUUGAAGUUCUCUAACUCCAGGUUGUUCCACUGCAGCUCGGUAUUUGCUCAACCGUAUGUGUACAUGCAUCAGGGCAUACAUAAAAUAUUCAAGUCAAUAUUCUCAGCUAACUGUGAUGUAAUGAAAAUAAUUACUUAAGGACUUGGGGUAAAAAUUGAUUUUAGACAUCAAAAUUUGCAGUGCUCAUUUCAACCAUGUUCAGAUAAACUUGAGGUAAAUUAGCAGUAAUGAUAUUAGUUGCAAGCUAGGUGUGUAACUGUUGUCAACACCACCACCACCAGAGACACUCAAGAUAAGCAUCAACACCAACAUGAUCUUGAUAUUAGCCACCCCAUAUCACCAGAGCAUCAUAGGAGCAUAUAUAUAAAGCAAGUACACAUGGGCAGCUACUGACAGACCCUAGAACCGCAUGAAUUUAUCACCAGAGAGCUCCAGUAGGAGUUGAUGCUUGGUUACAACAUCUAGCAGCAACUAGUAGAGCCCCACAUCCAACCCAAAUCAUGGCCAAGGCCAUGCAGGAGCUACAUCAGAGAAGAAGGAACAGGGAGGAGCUCACCAGAGGGAGGUUGUAGCCGUAGCAGAGGCUCAGCCACACCACGGCUGCUGUGGAUGGUGACUCCAGGACAGCAGAGUAACAACAACGAUUCAGACUUGUUCCUCCAUGAGCAUGAGCUGCUGCAGAUGGAGCUCCUCCUCCUAGGCUUGUUGGCCCCAUCCUGCUCGUCACCAAUCGAUGUGCCGUCCCUGUGGUUGUGGAAUAGGAGCGCAUCAGGAAACCAAGGAAGAGAAGAUCAAAUCAUUUUUAUAUACACCCGUCUAAAUACACCCCACUAAAUACACCCAUCUAAAUACGUCCCGUGGUUAUGUUCAUAAUCAGAUCAGACAUUGAAUGAAACAAAAAUACACCCCACUGAUGAAGCCGCAAUAAUUGUCUUGGAUGUAUCCAUCACAGCAAUAAACAAGCACCAUAUUUCGCCAAAUCUCUAUUCUAUAAACAAUUUUCUCUGGACGAACUAUUCAAACCACCCAUCUAAACAAUACCGCAUCUGUCGUCACUCAAGUCAAUAAUACUCGUUGACAGGUCCACCAUCCAACACAAGGAUAAGAUACAGAAUUGGUGCAUCAUUUCAGGCAGCGCAAGCAAACUAAACAAAACAGCUUAAACCCUAGAUAAAUCUUAUGGCCGGUUGGGGGAAAGCAGAAACGGAAGAAGUACUAGAUUCAAAUUGCACAUUCAGUCAAGUUUAGUCAAUACAUGUAUGACACAGCCAUGCAUGACACAAACAAAAUAUACAGUUCAUCUCCUGAUCCACAUUACAAUCCAAGGCAAAGUACUAGUAAAUAAAAUAGUACGUACUCUGGUGACCACCGAGCUAGCUGAUUACCAGUUUACCACACUGAUUAUGACAGGAACAGAAACGAAAGGGAACUACUAAAUAAGAUAGGAACGGAAGGGUGCGGUGUUGAUUUUGAUCACCAGGAGAACAGAAGACCCGAAUCAAGGCAAACUCAUUGACUGAAGAUGAGGAAGCUAGCUAUGCAUGUAUGCAGUGUGAAUCGGCUGGCCUUAAACCACAGAGAAGAGUAGGCAUGUUAAUUAAUAAGAGUCCUAAAAGGCUAAAAUAGAGAUGGCCGUCAGAAUAAAUCCUUUCCUUGUUUCAAGAGAAAAGAAACAAAAAGAAAAGGGUGAAGUGAAAGCAUCUGCAAAAGAAAAUUCGCAUGCAUACAGUGGCGUCUGCAUCAAUCAAGAUUAUUAAAGCUUGCAGCAGAGUGAGUACGCAUGAAGGUUUAGCGCUAACAUUGCCCAGCCGACCGUCGAUCUCUCUGCAGAAACAAAAGAAGAGCUACAUCAGCAACAGCAUGCAACAUAUUUCAGGUUGAUUGGAACCAAAACAAAGCAACAUGAGAAGCAGGCAGCAUAUAACAGGCUAGACGAAAGCAACAUAUGGAUGAAUGAAAUGGAGCGUUGUGUAUAUCAAGAUGUAAUCAAAGCUGAACCCAAAUGAGAUGAUUCUGGUUAGCCAUCGAUCUCCUUUACACUUCUUAUAAGUGGGAUAGGGGAACAAACCACAAGGCUACCUACGUCCGGCCUUUGUCCGGCCUUUGUUCAGGUGAACCCAAAUAUAUGACUGAAUGUAUGAUUGAGAAUGUGCAUGUACAGUGAGACCAACAAAUAUUCCACUGAUUUCUGACAGAUAUGUGUACAUAUAUUCCAAUGUGUUUGUACAAUACUAGAGCAUAACUGAAUUUUGACAGAACACAUAUAUGAAGUGAACUUUAGCACUGAAUUCUGGCCAGUACAGCAGUAAUUUUGCACAAGCAUGUAUGAACUGAACAGACAAAUAUUAUAACUAAACCUUUGCCAAUACAUCACUUCUUCACAAAGAUAUAUGAAGUAAACUGAACACAGAUAGAUCCUAACUGAACUCUUGACAGUACAGCAACAUGAUAAGUUCUGAAGAAGAAUAGUAUAGACGAUGCUCUCUAUUUCUUCACCAUUGCACAUCAAGAACAUGGAACGGAGCUUAGACUUGCGGAUGCGGGCAGCCGGGUAACCGCACGAGGAGCAGGUGCUCUUCUGGAGGUGGAAGCUGCGACGGCCGUAGCGGAUGCAGAGCGUGUGGGAGAGAGGGCCUCUCUGGGAGGGAGGGGAGGAUCUUGGCGCAGCGGCGGGGACCUGUUGUAUCUGGUCGACGAGGUUGCAAGAUCCGAGGCGGAGCUUCUGCUGGUGGCGUCCAUGGCCUUGGCCGGAGCUCCUAUUCAUUCCCUGUGAGACAGAGAGGCCGCAAGGUGACGGAGAGGGAAGGAAAAGGCAGAGGAUGAGGAGGAGGGGAUGGGGACAAGACGAACCUCGCCAAGGACGUCGGGGAAGAGAGGGUGGAGACGCGUGCUGGGGGGUGGGUCACGCGAGGAGCACCAAAUCCGGACGCGUGCUGGGGGGUGGAGACGGUGCAACGGCCAGAGGAGCUGCUCAAUCCAGAUGGGCGACUGCGUCCCGGAUCUCACGGGAGGAGGGGCUAUGCGCCGCCCUGAUCCCGGAUUCGGCGGCCUCUAGCCUCGCCGUCGCCAUCGCCGGUGGCUGCUCUGGCUGGCGCCAUGGGUGGUGGCUGGGUCUGGAUCGGGGAGAGGGAGGUGGAGGUGGCGGCGGCAGGGAGGAGCGGAGCUCUAGGGUUCGGGCAAGAGGGAGAGAGGCUGGAUGAAUGGAUCGAUGGACGGAUGCUUUCUGCGGUGGGCUGUAUCAAUUGAUCGAUGGAUGGAUGUUUGCCACAUCACUGAUCCAUGCCACAACAGAUUCCACCAAUCAUAAUUCACCUUGCGUAGUUUUGUUUUUUCUUCUGUUUUUUAAUAUUUUGUACCCUCUUAUUCUGGGUAAACAUUCAACAUAUUACCGCUUAUAGUUUUUUCAAAUGACCCAAUAUUUUGCACAAGUGUGUAUCUUGGGACAACAAACAAUGUUGAUUUGAGGGGUUUUCAUUUUCUUUGCACAAAAAAUCAUUUUUCAAUUUUUGGAGUGCCAAUAAUCGGGUUUUUUGUGAAGGACGUACCAUAUAUUUGUUGCAAAAUUGGACCAAAUCAUUUUUCUAAAAUACUAGGUCAUUUUUAAUGCACAAUUGAUCAAAUGGUUGGGUGUCAAAAGAUUCAAGCCACCUCUCGUGAAAAAGACAAAUUUCAGCCGAUUCAGUAGGAAGUGGGUCAAAUUUGAACUGCAGCUGCCUCAUAGUUUGCUCACGAUUUUUUUCCAAAAAUCAUUUCUAGGUACAAAAGUAUCUAUUUCAUUAGAGAGACACAAAAAGUUUUCCAAGAUUCAACCACUAGCUAGGAACGGUCAUUCCCGCCGUUUUGACCGCAUUUUGAAACGGGCAUAAAAAAUUCAAAAAAUUGGGAAACCUUCGCAUUGUGUCAUUAUAUGUGGCCAAGUUCCCAGGAAAAAUAACAAACUUGUAAUACGACAAUUAUUUUAAAAAAUUGUUCUCAGAAACGAGCUAUCACGUGUGGAGAUCAAUGGCUUUCAAGCCAAAUGAUCAAUCUUAUGGCCACAUUCAUGGCAUAGUUUGUUCAAAUGAUCUCAUAUUGUGCACAAGGGUGCAUAUUGGAAUGGCAAACAAUGUUGCCUAAGUAAGUUUUCAUUUUCUUUGGACGAAAAAACCAUUUUCCAUUUUUCGAGUGCCCAAAAGGAGGUUUUUUGGUGAAGGACCUCCCAAAUAAUUGUUGCAAAAUUGGACCAAAUCAAUUUUCUAAAAUACUAGGACAUAUUUAAUGCACAAUUGACAAAAUUAUUGGGUGUAAAAAGUUUUGAUCCACCUCUCAUGAAAAAGACAAAUUUCCGCCGAUUCAGCUGGAAGCGGGUCAAAUUUAAACUGUAGCUGCCUUGUAGUUUGCUAUUUAUUUUUUCCAAAAAUCAUUUCUAGUUACAUAAGUACCUAUUAAAUCAGAGAAACACCAACAAAAAUCCAAGAUUCAACCACUAGCUAGGAACGGUCAUUCCCGCCGUUUUGACCGCAUUUUGAAACGGGCAUAAAAUAUUCAAAAAACUCAAAAAAUUGGGAAACCUUCGCAUUGUGUCAUUAUAUGUGGCCAAGUUCCCAGGAAAAAUAACAAACUUGUAAUACGGAAAUUAUUUUAAAAAAGUGUUCUCAGAAACGAGCUAUCACGUGUGGAGAUCAAUGGCUUUCAAGCCAAAUGAUCAAUCUUAUGGCCACAUUCAUGGCAUAGUUUGUUCAAAUGAUCUCAUAUUGUGCACAAGGGUGCAUAUUGGAAUGGCAAACAAUGUUGCCUAAGGAAGUUUUCAUUUUCUUUGGAGGAAAAAACCAUUUUCCAUUGUUCGAGUGCCCAAAAGGAGGUUUUUUUUGUGAAGGACCUCCCAAAUAAUUGUUGCAAAAUUGGACCAAAUCAAUUUUCAAAAAUACUAGGACAUAUUUAAUGCACAAUUGACAAAAUGGUUGGGUGUAAAAAGUUUUGAUCCACCUCUCGUGAAAAAGACAAAUUUCCGCCGAUUCAGGUGGAAGCGGGUCAAAUUUGAACUGCAGCUGCCUCAUAGUUUUCUAUUUAUUUUUUCCAAAAAUCAUUUAUAGUUACAUAAGUACCUAUUUAAUCAUAAAUACAUGGUUUGGUGCUGAUACGUCGAGGUUUGGGCGGUGGCCGAGGGCCCCAACUCUAGAGCGCGUAAACUCGCAUGCCCGCCGCGUGGUCACCGCGUGACCGUGGCGUUGCCAUGUGUUCUGGGCAGCCUAGGCAUGUCUAGUGGGUUGGGCACUCCCCAGGUAGGUGUUAGGAAGAAAAUUACAACAUAAGAUUCUCACGAGGAGACCGAUCGAUGCUCAAACAUGAAUUAGCAGCCAAGUGUUUGAUUAGCGGUACGGGAAAUGUACAUGGCUAAUGGGCGUGAGUUUUGGCUGAGGAUGAUCAAUUACUAAGAAGACCGUCUUCACAAAUUUACAGCUCAAAAGGAGGAUCCUAGGUGGUACUUGCUUUGCAAAGUACCACAUUGGACAUAAAUACGAAUGUUGAAGCUGGGCUCAAAAUAAUGAAUGGAUUGAGCUGGCAUUUGGUGGAGGAUGGUUAUUUGGGCAUAGGAAAGCACCGUAGAAAAUGGAUACUAUUUGGACAUGCCAAAGUGGUACUUCCUUCACAAAGCGUUGUUCUGAACAGAAUAGGAAAAUGAAUAUUGUUGAAUUAUUUUUGAACUAGGCAAGGAAGGUUUUUUUUACAUAUUUGACGAAGAUAUGACCCAAAGAAUUUAUGAGAUUUUUUUGGGAAUUUCGGGAAUGACAGAAAUAUAGGUUGCUUCACAACCUGGGGCAAAAAUUGCCACAUGGACAUGACACAUAGGCAAAACUGAUGAGGUGGCGCCUAGUCAUAGCAACCCACCACAAUUUACAAGGUUAUGACCAUCUAUAUUGGUCGUGAUCAGCUAGAAAUAAGGCAGCGGACCAGUGCUAUCUGCUUUAUGACCAUUUCAUGUAAGGAAAUUACGACCUUUCUGACCAAAAUGGUCGUUAUAGUUUAGGGUUUGGAGCCCCCCGAACAGCUUCUGACCAAUUGGUCUGAAAUGGUCAUAGAUCUAUGACCAAUUCUUCCAGGGUCACUGACAGAAGGUCACUAGUUGACAUAUUUCUUGUAGUGAUAGUUGGACAGCACCCGUUGUUUCGGACAAGCCGUGGAGUGUGAUUGUUGGUGGAGGGGGAGUAAAAUCUUUACCUUUCUGUUUGGGAACCGCCUAUAAUGUAUCUAGUAUGGAAGAUAUUGGGAACUCUUGGUCGUUAUGUUGACAAUGAAAGCAUACCUCUCAAAAUUAUUUUCAUCUCUGUUUUAGCUUCGAGCUCUGGCACCUCUGCAAAUCCCUGCUUCCCUCUGCGAAGGGCCUAUCGUUUACUUUUAUGCAAGAGUCAGUAGUAUUCCUUCUCAUUCCAACCUACUUUUUAGUUGGCAAGCAUCAUGUGGUGGAGAAAGAUCUAAGCAUAUAUGGCCAUUCAAAUAUAUUUGAUCAUGAAUUAUUAUUGUUGACAUUUAUCUAUAUGAUAAAUAAGUUGGGAGGCGAAACAUUAAGCCCCUAUCUUUCUCUGUGUUCAAUGGAUGCUAUUUGUUCUAAAAAUAUGCUUUGAGUGUUAGCAAUCAUGGAAGACUGUAUGAUAGUUGAGUAUGUGGGAUUUGCUAAAUCAAAUCUCUUACAUAGACCCUUCCUGAAAAUAAGAUGAAUUGCAAUUGUUUGAUGACUGAGAACAUAGUUUGUUAGUUUUCAAGAAAGUUUAUGGUCUAUGCUUUAACAUGUGAAUAGCUUGUUACUUGAUCAUGAAAAGUUUUAUGAGUUGAGCUACUGUUAUGACAUAUAAUGGUGAUUGAAAUUAUCAUUGAUCAAACUUGUGCACCUGCUAGCAUUCACACUUCAUAAAUUAUUUCUUUUAUCAUUUACCUACUCGAGGACGAGCAGGAAUUAAGCUUGAGGAUGCUGAUACGUCUCCAAUGUAUCUAUAAUUUAUGAAGUAUUCAUGCUAUUAUAUUAUCUUUUUUGGAUGUUUAUGGGCUUUACUAAACACUUUUAUAUUAUUUUUGGGACUAACCUAUUAACCGGAGGCCCAACCCAAACUAUUGUUUUCUUGCCUAUUUCAGUGUUUCGAAGAAAAGGAAUAUCAAACGGAGUCCAAACGGAAUGAAACCUUCAGGAGAGUUAUUUUUGGAACGGAAGCAAUCCAGGAGACUUGGAAUAGACGUCAGGGAAGCUUCGAGGAAGCCACGAGGCAGGGAGGCGCGUCCUACCCCCUGGGCGUGCCCCCCACCCUCGUGGGCCCCUCGUGGCUCCCCUGACCGACUUCUUCCGCGUAUAUAUAUCCAUAUACCCUAAAAACAUCGAUGAACACAAUAGAUCGGGAGUUCCGCCGCCGCAAGCCUCUGUAGCCACCAAAAACCAAUCGGGACCCUGUUCCGGCAUCCUGCCGGAGGGGGGAUCCCUCACCGGUGGCCAUGACAAGGAGGGAGUAGUUCACCCUCGGGGCUGAGGGUAUGUACCAGUAGCUACGUGUUUGAUCUCUCUCUCUCUCUCUCUCUCUCUCGUGUUCUUGAUUUGGCACGAUCUUGAUGUAUCGCGAGCUUUGCUAUUAUAGUUGGAUCUUAUGAUGUUUCUCCCCCUCUACUCUCUUGUAAUGGAUUGAGUUUUCCCUUUGAAGUUAUCUUAUCAGAUUGAGUCUUUAAGGAUUUGAGAACACUUGAUGUAUGUCUUGCAUGUGCUUAUCUGUGGUGACAAUGGGAUAUUCAUGUGAUCUACUUGAUGUAUGUUUUGGUGAUCAACUUGCGGGUUCUGUGACCUUGUGAACUUAUGCAUAGGGGUUGGCACACGUUUUCGUCUUGACUCACCGGUAGAAACUUUGGGGCACUCUUUGAUGAAGUACUUUGUGUUGGUUUGAAUAGAUGAAUCUGAGAUUGUGUGAUGCAUAUCGUAUAAUCAUACCCACGGAUACUUGAGGUGACAUUGGAGUAUCUAGGUGACAUUAGGGUUUUGGUUGAUUUGUGUCUUAAGGUGUUAUUCUAGUACGAACUCUAUGAUAGAUCGAACGGAAAGAAUAGCUUCAUGUUAUUUUACUACGGACUCUUGAAUAGAUUGAUCAGAAAGAAUUACAUUGAGGUGGUUUCGUACCCUACCAUAAUCUCCUCGUUUGUUCUCCGCUAUUAGUGACUUUGGAGUGACUCUUUGUUGCAUGUUGAGGGAUAGUUAUAUGAUCUAGUUAUGUUAUUAUUGUUGAGAGAACUUGCACUAGUGGAAGUAUGAACCCUAGGACUUGUUUCCUAGCAUUGCAAUACCGUUUACGCUCACUUUUACCACUUGCUACCUUGCUGUUUUUAUAUUUUCAGAUUACAAAAACCUAUAUCUACCAUCCAUAUUGCACUUGUAUCACCAUCUCUUCGCCGAACUAGUGCACCUAUACAAUUUACCAUUGUAUUGGGUGUGUUGGGGACACAAGAGACUCUUUGUUAUUUGGUUGCAGGGUUGUUUGAGAGAGACCAUCUUCAUCCUACGCCUCCCACGGAUUGAUAAACCUUAGGUCAUCCACUUGAGGGAAAUUUGCUACUGUCCUACAAACCUCUGUACUUGGAGGCCCAACAACGUCUACAAGAAGAAGGUUGUGUAGUAGACAUCAGCCUGCCCCAAGGACCCCUUCCCACUACCUCGCAUCGACCAGAUUAUCGAUGCAACCGCCGGACACGAUUCAUUGUGUUUCCACGACGCAUACUCCGGAUACCGUCAAAUUAAGAUGAAGGAAUCCGACUAAGCCGCAACGGUAUUCAUCACCCCGUACGGGCCUUUCUGCUUCAACACCAUGCUGAAAGUGCGUUAAGUCGACUAGAGGGGGGUGAAUAGGCGAUUUUUAUGAAUUCUUCACUGAGGAAUUUCAGGGUGAGGAAAUUCCUAAGCGAAGAACUACUUGCAGUGGAAUAAGUACUCAGAUGCAUGCAUGACAUAACGUAAGCAUGGACAUUAUGAUGAAAUUGAUACAAACACAGAGUACAGGAAGCGUAAGCACAGGAUAAAACAGGAUGAAGACAAACAGACUAAAGAAAUUGAACUGAGGAAAUUGAGAAAGUCUUCAGUCAAAGUCUUCAAACAGAUAUGAACAAGCACACACAAUAAUGAGGAAAUGGAAGGGUUGGGUAAAUAGAACCAGUUAGCUCGGUGAAGACAAUGAUUUGGUAGACCAGUACCAACUGCCGUGACAGUUGUACGUGUGGUUGGAGCGGCUAGGUAUUUAAACCUGAGGACACACAGUCCCGGACACACAGUCCUCACCGUAUUCUCCUAGAGCUAAGGUCACACAAACCUCUCCCAAUCACUCGUGGUAAGUCUUCAGGUGACAUCCAAACCUUCACAAACUCGGUCACUCGGCGAUCCACAAUUUCCUCUUGGAUGCUCUAGACCAUGACGCCUAACCGUCUGGAAGAUGCACAGUCUUCAAAGGUAACAAGCGUCGGAUCCACACAGGAACAAUUUCUUCAGUGAUGCUCAAUCACUUUGGGUUUGUAGGUGUUUGGGUUUGGGUUUUCCUCACUUGAUGAUUUUCGCUCAAACUCCUCGGAGGAUGGGAUGCUCUCAAUGACAAGUGUCAGUUUAUCUCGGAGCAGCCAUCCAGCUAGUGGUUGUAGGGGGGCGGCUAUUUAUAGCCUAGGGAGCAGCCCGACAUGAUAAGACAUAAAUGCCCUUCAAUGAUAUGACCGUUAGGUGGAUAAGAUAUUUUGGGAUAGCUGGCGCAUAGCACAGCAACGGUCGGAAAUUUGAGGUACAAAUUCCUCAGGGCUAUCAUGAUCCUCACUUGUAGGCAAUCCGCACUAGCGAAUUCCUAACUCCCCAGUCAGAACAAAUUCCUCAGAGACUAGAAGAACUUCGUCUCUGUCACUGAUGAAAUUUACUGAACUGCAUGAGAUUUCCAAUGGCUUCACUCGAAAGGAUUGGUAGGUGUAGGAUUUUGAGAUGAGCAUCACUUGGAAACUUUUCCUUAGUUUUUCCUCGACCCCCUUUAAUAGUACGGUGUUUCUUAUGACUCAAUAAAGAGAAAGACGAAACUAUGAAAACAAAGUCUUCACCCUUCAUAUUCCUCGCAUGAAUAUAGAGUCUUCACGGUCACACCAAUUUCUUCACUUUCAAAGUCUUCAGAAAUCCAAAGUCUUCAGUUGAAGCAUUCAUUUUUAGGCGUCGACUUUCUCUGUAAAUAUCAAACUCCUCAUAGACUUAUAGACUUGUGUACACUCACAAACGCAUUAGUCCCUUAACCUAUAAGUCUUCAAUACACCAAAAUCACUAAGGGGCACUAGAUGCACUUACAAUCUCCCCCUUUUUUGGUGAUUGAUGACAAUAUAGGUUAAGUUUUCAACGGGGAUAAACAUGUGAAGUGUAAAUACUAAUAUUGAGGAAUUUGAUUGCAAGAUAUAGAAGAGCUCCCCCUGAAGAUGUGCAUAGUGAGGAAUUUGCUUUUGAAGCAAUGCACACUUGAAGAGUAGAAUCAUGGAGACCUCCCCCUAUAUCUUGUAAUUCAUACACGCAUUUUAACAUAUGAUAUGAAGAAUUUGAAAUGCAUGAUGAAAUAUGGUGACUGAUGUAAUUCAGCAUGCGUGCAUAACAUAUAUGAGGAAAUAGCAUGCAGAAGAACAUAGCAAAAGUAUCAGACCACCAUCGGGUUUAAGUUUACAACUCGAUCCAAUAAAGUCUUCAGAAGAACGAGAGUUGUAACUUAGAAAAAAACGCCCAUAUAAAGACCCGCUUGAAGACUAACUCAAAUUUCUCCCCCUUUGUCAUCGAAUGACCAAAAGGGACGAAAAAUGAGGACUGACGCCCCUGAAUAAUAUCACGAAGACGAUGGAGGAGCGCCAGCGUUGUUGGGGUCGGUUGUUGAAGUAGGGCCUGCCGCAGUGUCGUCCAAAUCUUCAUGCUCAUCAGUCUCGCGAGAUGAAGAAUAUGAGCUGGCUACCAAAGAAGGAACUUUGACUUUCUUGAAUUUCUUCGACGGUGGCUGAGACCAGUCAAAGUCCUGCUUGAAGCCCGUCUGCUUCAGAUCUUCUUCACCAUAAAGAUGAGACUGAAUAGCCCAGGUGCGAUUGAAUACUUCAUGGAGGUAGUAGUGGUUCUUCUUCACUGAAUUGUGCGUAGAAGUCAUGUUGUGAAGAAUUGAACCAAACUGACGCUUAACCCAUUUGUGGUUGCGAUCGACCUUCUGGUGAAGACUGAGGAGAAGCUCACGAUCAGUCAUCACCCUUGGAGCUGUGCCUUGAGGAUUUUUCUUUGAGGCAUUGGCGGCAGAGUCGUGAGUGGUAGAGUCAUCAUUGGUGGAGUAAGAUGCAGCUUUGCGGAACUGACCAUCCAAUGGACGAAUGCCUUCAUCAAUAACAGCAGUAGCCUUGCCCUUUUCAUCAGCUGAGGAAAAUUUCCGCUUGAGGACUUCAAUGGGGGGCAAGUAGCUGCCAUGGUUGAGUGUGUCAGCCUUGUAAUUGAUUGAAGACCUUGAUCUGAGGAAUCUCAUAAUCUAGGGAGUGUAAGGCUUCAAUUCAAAAGGGGACAAUGCAACAUUGGCCAGAGUCCUCAUGAAGAAAUCAUGGUAGUUGACAGGAACUCCAUGGAUGAUAUUGAAAAGAAGAUUCUUCAUGAUGCCAACGACCUCUUCUUCAUUCGAGUCAUGGCCCUUGAUUGGACUCAAUGUCUUGGUCAGAAUGCGAUAGACAGUCCGUGGCACAUAUAGCAAUUCCUUCAUGAGGAAUUUGGUCCUUGGGGCUUGACCGGGCUUCAGUGGCUUCAUCAACACUUGCAUAUAGUGAUCAGCGAGUUCAGGUUCAUGAUAUAUACAACGAGCACCUUCAAGGGGAGGACUGACUGGCAGGGCAUGAAGCAAUUCAGAGGCCGGUGCUUUGAAGUGAGUGUUUUCUGUCAUCCAGUCCAACACCCAAGAGUUCACAUCUUCAGCAUUUCCUGUAAUGUGCAGCAUCGCAUAGAACUAAAGAAUUAGCUCUUCAUUCCAAUCACACAUAUCGGUGCAGAAGUUGAGCAAUCUAGCGUCAUGAAGAACGCUGAGAACUGGUGUGAAGUAAGGCAGCGAUUCCAUGUCCACAUGAGGAAUAUGCUCAUGGUCGAAGACUUUGUCCUUAUCAAAAAGCAGUGAAGAAUAGAAGUUUGCUUGGCUUGCGGUCUAGAAACGCUUCCUUCGUAGGUGAGCAGAGUCAUAGGGAUUGUAGUCUGUGAAGAAUACAUGCUCGUGGAAGAAGUCAUCAUCCUUGAAGUUUUGCUUCUUAGAGAAGGGAUUCUUCGGCUUGGGCUGAGGAGUAUCAGUCAAAGUCAUCAGAGGCUCAGGAAUCACAUUCUCAGGCACCACAGCCUGAGGAAUUUCAGUUUUUGCUUCAGUUGCAUCCUGGGUCUUCUUUUCUUCAUCAGCACUAGUGGCUGGAAUUUCUUCAGGAAUGGAAGGAGUGGUGUGAGGUUUGUCAGAGCCCAUUUUAACUUUAGUGUGCAUUGGGGACUGAGGAAUUUGUUACAGUGGCGUGAACAAAGGAGAGUUGGGGUGCUGACUUUCCCAAAAGUCAUCAUUCAUCACAGGCGUGGUGCUCCCAAUGUCCACGUCUUCAUCUUCUUCACUUAAUUCUUCAACGCCUGCCUCUUCAGCUGUGAACUGAGGCACUGGCGAUGAAACAACUAGAGUUGAAGGGAUAUCAUCCACUUCAAUUUCUUCGUCCUGCUCUGAAGAAGUAGCAGAAGGAAUGUCUUCAUCAGAUCCGCUUGGGAUCACAUAUUCUUCUCCAAAAGGAACGAGUUCCUCUGAUGGCAUACUAGAGACAGGAACAACAUCAAUGGGAUUCUCAAAAGAGCUUGUCAAUAUCUUCAUCUUCUUCGGUGCUGAAGACAGUGACGAAGCAGAUGCUUUCCUCUUCUUUAUUGCUGCUCGCUCCGCAGCUUUGGUUUUCUUCGCUUCUGAUGCAGAAGGAAGAAAUGGACUUGGUGUUGGUGCAGGAGGAGCAGAGGAAAUUGGUUCAUUUUCCUCGGGCACAACUGAUGCAGUUGGCCUGGUUUGUUCAGCUUCUUCAGUCUCAGCGGUUGAUGCCUCAGCUGGCCUGGCUUGUUCUUCAGGCGCAACACUAGUGGUUGCCCUGGCAAUUUCAUCAGUGGCUGGAAUAGAUGCAUCAGUGAUACGUCUCCGUCGUAUCUAUAAUUUUUUAUUGUUCCAUGCCAAUAUUCUACAACUUUCAUAUACUUUUGGCAACUUUUUAUACUAUUUUUGGGACUAACAUAUUGAUACAAUGCCCAGUACCAGUUCCUGUUUGUUGCAUGUUUUAUGUUUCGCAGAAACCCCAUAUCAAACGGAAUCCAAACGUAAUAAAAACGGACGGAGAAUAUUUUUGGAAUAUUUGGAGAAUAUGGGAAGAAGAAUCAACGCGAGACGGUGCCCGAGGUGGCCACGAGGCAGGGGGGCGCGCCCCUGACCCUCGUGGGCCACCCGUAAGGCGGUUGCUUCUCUACUUUGGCCGCAAGAAAGCUAAUUUUUAGAAAAAAAAUCACGACGAAGAUUUCAGUCCAAUCGGAGUUACGGAUCUCCAUAUAUAUACGAAAUGGUGAAAGGGCCGCCGACCAAAACGUAGAAACAGAGAGAGACAGAGAGAUAGAUCCAAUCUCGGAGGGGCUCUCGCCCCUCCCACACCAUGGAGACCAAGGACCAGAGGGGAAACCCUUCUCCCAUCUAGGGAGGAGGUCAAGGAAGAAUAAGAAUAAGAAGGGGGGCCCUCUCCCCUUCUCUUCCGGUGGCGCCUGUCGUGGAAUUGUCACGACAGAUGUCCUAGCGAAAGGACUUAGUCAUGGAGCCAUCGCAACGGGUUAGCUUAAAGAGGUUAAACCGGACAAGGGACACGAGAGUUUUAUACUAGUUCGGCCCCUUACGAUGAAGGUAAAAGCCUACGUCUAGUUGUGAUGGAAUUGCUAGGGUUUCGAUGACCAGGGAGCGAAUACGCUUUGCCUGAGUCUCGAGUUGUUGUUUUUUUGUCCUUGAACCGCCACCGGGUCGUGCCUUUAUAUACACAGGUCGACGCCCGCCGGCUUACAGAGUCCCGAUGCCGGUUUAUACACAUACCGGCUCGGUCUCUACUUUGUCGUACCUUACAAUACAAGUCAUGUACUAUAUGGCGGUUUAUAGCUACAGGCCUUAAUCUACCUUUGGGCCUUGGGCCUUCGAGUCUCUGUAGUAAACCGCUUUAUUCCUUAUCUUCAUGGGCUUUUAAGUAUAACAAUCCAUUAUGGGGAUAACCCGGCUUCCUUGGCCAGUUUACACCUAGUAGUAAUAUCCCCAACAUUAGGCCCCAGAUUGAUUUGAACUGGUUCAUGUCAAUCUCCAAAACCUUGAGAAAAUUUCUUCUUCCAUAUCUUCGCAUAAAUCUUGUAAACCGCCAUGACGUCAUCAUCCAGAAUCAUAAUAAACCGCCAUGAUGUCAUUUGUUAUUUUAAAUGGUAUAUUCCUCACCUUCAUUAAUGAGCCUCCGACAGUCGAGGCAACAAAUCUGUCACAUAUCCAUUUGUUAGGCUCCUCGAUUCUUGCGCUUAACCCUUAUCCUUUCGUCUUUAUAAAUACGGCCGAGGGUCCUUUCCGUUUUCCCCCUUUCUCUUCGUCUCCUUCUUCCUCGCGACGUCUCAGAACCCGAGCUCUGCUGCCGCCGUCGUCCUUUGUAUCUGCAUCAACCAAGGCCGCUGCAUCAACCUGAUCGAGCCAGAGCAACGCGGCGCUCCUUCGCUGUUUCGCAGCAUCGGUGAGUUCAUUUCCUUUUCAACCUCAGAUCUGCAUUAGGGUUCCGCCGUUCGUCGGUGUUCUUCCCUGUUCGUCUUCUUUCUGUUCUUAGAUCUCAUAACUUGAUUUGCAACUGAUAGUGGAAGUAGGCGAUGAUAGUCUAGCGCCCUUUACCAACCUCAGAAAACACCUUUUACUGCCUGAGAUCCAAUCAAACAAACGUGUUCUUCCACUGCCACCAUUUUAGGUUAAAUUUAUUUCCUCUUUUUAGAAUUGUGACAGAUCCAAAUUUAUACCACCGAUCAGUGAAAUCUGUUUGCGCCAUACUUAGAAAUUUUUGUAAAUCUGUAGCCUCUAUACCAUUGUGGGUGGUUUAUCCUUUAAACUUUGAUAACUCAUCAUAUACCAUUAGCCCUCUGUUAAACCGCCAACCCGCUUUAAGUGCUGAAAUCCGGUUUAGUACAGCCAAAUGCUUGAAAUAUCAUAGUCUUCCAUCAUUGCGCCAGUUUGUAAGUUGUAACCAUGAACUUUAACCCGGAUACCGUGCUUUUUUCCAGCUUCUCACCAGAAAUGGCCAAACAAUUCUGUUCCUGUAAUUGGGUUCCUUCCCGGGUUACGGAAGCGCAGCUAGCUGGUUGUGUUGCAACGGGUGCUUUAGCAAAUAAGGACACUAUUCAUUGGCGAGUCCCCAGUCCAGAAUUUCCUCCUAAACCCCAAGACGGAGAAGUUAUUGUAUUUACUGAUCACCUGAGCCGAGGCUUCACUCCCCCCGGAUCAAAAAAAUUCCGUGACGUGCUCGCCGACUUUCAAAUCCAUCCCCAAGAUAUCGGUCCAAACUCCAUAUCCAAUAUUUGUGACUGGCAAGUAUUCUGUGAAGUGUACCUGCAAGAGGAGCCUACUGUUGAUCUGUUCCGGGAUUUCUUUUAUCUAAACCACCGUACUGAGUUUACGGAUGGCCCCAAUACUGAACUAGGCGGGGUUUCAAUUCAGAAGAGGAGAGAUGUUGAUUUCCCUCAUGCCAAGCUUCAUAGUCAUCCUAAGGACUGGAAUCAGACUUGGUUCUACUGCCGCAACACAGCCCCAGCCAAUGAAAAUCCUUUGCCGGGUUACCGUCCACACCGCCUUACCCAAGCUCAUCCCUUUCCUCAACGGUUGACAGCCCGGGAGCGAGCAAAAUAUGCCCCUCAACUGGCAAAGCUCAGAGCCUUUGUUGCAAAUGGGCUGAUAGGCGUGGAUUUUGUCCGAUGCUGGGUUUCAUGGAGCAUUUUACCUUUAAGCCGACGGCCCAGUUUAAUGUGUGAAUACACAGGGGAUCUGAAAUACCCGCAACGCCAUAUUGACAUCCAGCUGACUGAUGAUGAAGUCAUCGAAGCUGUUAAAAAGAUGCUUAAUGAGCCAAUAGAUGUGUGCAGCAAAACCGGGCUCAGUCCUUUCUAUGCUGCCAAUAAACCGCCAAAGGUAUAAUCUACCGUAUUUCUGCCUUUAUCCAUCCUUUGUUAAAUUUCUCCUCUGAUGACUUACUAUUUGUCUAUGCAGGUCGAUGAUCCAUUCUGGAAUAAAAAAUCACAAGAUAAACCGGUAAAGAAUCCUCGGCUUAAGACUAAGGCUUCAAAAAAGCCUAUGAAAAGAAGGAACGUUGAACCGUCCGAGCCCAUUAUUGAUGAUGAUCUGGAAAUUCCGGAUUCAGAGGUAGAACUUGACUCUCUCGGUUCAUUUUUUAUACACCUUAUUGACAAUGAUCAUUAUCAGGAUGAAGCGGAAGCCAGCCAUGUUGAUGAGGUAACUAUUCUUUCUUCUGAUUCUGAUCCUGUGCCAGUACCAAGAAUCCGUCGAGCCAUUCAGAAAGUAAAAUUUGCAUGCCCUCUUUCUUAUUUGGACCCGCACUUUCUUUUAAAGACGCAGCAGCAUGAAGCUCGCCGCACAACUCGACAUAGUGGCCAAGUGGUGACCUCCUCCGGUUUACCAAAUUCGCCGGUUCGUAAACGCCGCCAAGAGGUUGCUUAUACUCCUGACACCCUUUAUCCUAAGGCGGGUUACAUCCGAUAUCCUCUUAUCCGUCUGACUCAAAUUAUCAGGGAACUUCCCAUUCAUCGUCUGGCGAGUCGUCAGCGACACAACUUCCUCCUCUGAGAACCGUCCCUGGGUAAGCAUAACAUACUUUUAACUUUUUGGUCUUGUAUUAUAUUGUCAUAUCGAUCUUCGUGUCUGCUGUUUUUCGGUGCUAAAGCCAGACCAAGCAAGAAGGCUAGAUUGAAUAGGCCAACCGACCAUGAACCGGCUACCGAGCCGGAGAAAACCCCAGAGGCCAUUGACCCGGAGGCUAACACUGUUAUUGAUAAUCCAGAACCUCAAGCAACCGACACGCUUGUUGAACCGGUAGAACAUAAUCCAACAAGCCAGUCAGCUGAUCCAUUAAGUCCAACUGUUGAUCCGCCGAGUCCGGCUAAAGCAUCCGAUAAACCGCCAAGCCCUGCCAAAACUACGGACGACGAUGUUGUCGUAACUGGCCUUGGUUUCAGCUCCCCUGGUCGUCCUGUCGCGUUAUCAAAGCAUAGCGCCAAAGAAGAAAGUUCUGCUAUGGACAAAGGGAAAUGGAAAUCCGAGUUAUCCAAUUAUACCAACCUCAGCGCUGAAGACCUUCAUUCUGGUUUUUUAAACCGCCUGUAUACAAGCCGCGACUUUGAAGCUGGUUUAGUAGGCCUGAUGAAGGAGCGGUGUGAGGUAAAUGUCACUUUCCCUUUGCAUAAAUAUUCCAAUAGUCCUUUUGUUAGAACUGGUCUAACGUAUCAACUCCAGUAGCCCCCAAGGACCGGUGCAUAACAUUGGUUUGAACCGGGUCUUGAAUCGAUAUUUGCAUUUUGCUGGUGUAGCCCCCAUGAACCGGCUUAUAUCUUUUUAGAAUGAACCGGUACAUCCUACUGAUCUCACCACUUAUAAUGAUGACAAUCCAUAUGAAUCUGAACGAAUACGCAUUAGCCCCCAAGUGUCAAGUAGAUAACUUGUUAUGUGCAUGAGACUUUAAAUUAAUAACUGAUAAGAAGCAAUCCGCAUUAGCCCCCAAGUGUCAAGUAGAUAACUUGUUAUGUGGUUGGGACUUCAGUGUUGUAAUGCUAACUUGUUAUCUGUAUUUUGCAGGCUGAGUUGUCCAAAAAAGACUCCCAAAUCACUGAUCUCCAAGGAAACAUCAAGUCUCAGGUAGACGAAACUUGCAAAGUUAAGAGCGAGCUGACCACCGCUUUAACAACCAUGGAGCAGCUAAAGGAAUUCUUCAAAGGCGAACGGGCAGAUUGGGCAACUGAAAAGACCACCUUGUUAAAGCGGGCAGAAGAUGCGGAAAACGCCCUUAAACCGGCCACAGAAGAGCUGAGCAGCCUGAAGCGGCAGAUUGAUGCCAUGACCUCUGCCAUCUUUGGUAACAAUCUCUUCACCAAUAUGUAACAACACCAGUUAUAAAAACUUCUGGUUUAAUAAUAAUAUGAUCCUUUUGCAGGUAGCCGUGUCACUCAUCUUGGCACAGAUAUGCGCAAAAAAUUGAAGGCCGUCUAUACUUUGGUAGAACAGCUUUAUACCGGCGCGCAACGAGCUAUCUGCACAGCUUCCAAUAACCAUCUGCCCCCGUCGCUAAUCAAGGAAACGCUGGAAAAAUUGUCUAUGAUGCCUGCCCGGAUUAUGGAAUUGAAGAAAUCCGCUGCUAGGUCCGGUGCCCUUACUGCACUGACGCGCGCCAAGGCCUGGAUCUCUGACCUUGAUCCGGAAGAUGUUGGAAAUGGUUACCCAAGCCAAAAAGAGGACGGUUCAGAAUUUAACAAUGACGAUCUCCGGGCUAUCACAAGAGAGAUGCGACCAUUGGCAAGUAAGUUGGCUGAAGAUACUAACUUGUCAAUUUACCAGAAUGUAUAUGACGCCAGUGGCAAGCGAAUAAGUGCUCCAACUUAUGACGUGGAAAGUCUGAUCCCGCCGAUCCGUAAGCACACUUACGCUCCUGAUGUUGAACCGUCUGAUCUUAUACACGACGAAGCUGUCUUUCAAGCCUUAUCAGGAAUUGAUUGGACAACUAUUGACUUCCAGCCACUGGGUGGAGAGAAGGAGGGUGAACCGGUGCAGGAAGAUCCGCAACCUUCACAUCAACCUGAGGCAGAAUCAUAAUCCGGAAGCCGGUUUAACUUGUGCCUAUUGUCAUCCUUGUGAAAAACAAUCAUUCUUAUGGGCAGUCGAAACGCCUUGUAAUAGGCUAGCUUGAACAGCUGAUCUGAUAUGCCAUCGUGCAUACUUGUUGCACACAAUAUUGUUAAUCCGUCAUGCUAUAUUUGCUUAUGAUCUUUAUCGAUUUUAUACAGCCCUGUUUCUGCAUAAAACAAAGUGAAAACUGUCCUGGCGGUUUACCGCCAGACGGGGCAUAAUGCCCAAUAUAUAGCCAAGGUUGAUAACCGUAGCUUUGAAUAAUGAAAUAUGAAACAUAUCAUACCUGUGAUAUUGAAUCCCCUUGUUGGUUUACCAACAUUCUUGUAAUAAGGGUGACGACCCAAAUACUGAGUAUUGAUAACUCAAACCAUGUUAUGCUGGUAUAUAACAAGUGAUGCCGGGUUAUGAUAAACACCGGAUGAUCAUCUUGGCAACUUAUAGUUAACUCCAGGCCGGGUUAAAUAAACACCGGUUUAUAUGGAUGAUUUACAAUUAGGCCGGGCCAUUAGACGCCGGUUUAGCUCAAAACUUUAACAAGGGAGAAAAACAAAACUGACCAAUAAAAACCAGAGAGAAAAAAAACUUGUAGUCGAGGCUUUUCAAGGGCUGCCAGGCCCAAAUGCGAGGCUUUUCAUGGGCUGCCAGACCACUGAGUUAAACCGUUUUACAAAGACUUUUAAGAUGGUCCUCCAUCUUUAACCAAUCGCCGGUCUAUCAUUGACAAGUUCAGGGUCAUAUGCGAUUGACUUGUCAAGUUGGCGGGUCAUACCAGGCUUACCUGGGUGGAGUGACUUACUUAAUGAAGGCAGGUUAACCCGGGGUUUUAGGUGUAUAUACCAGGCUUCCAAGCCACGGCUUGAUAGCCUAUUGCAAGUGUAGAUUUCUUUGUUCAUUGCGAUAGCAAAGAAUCUCCAAGCAACAUUUUGAGCUGUGCUCAACGGGUGCCUAUGUUUGAGUUGUUCUUGACAACACUCUUUGGCCCCUAAGUAAUGGCAUUGCGCCAGCCAAAAGGUGUAGCUAUGGUUGAACACAACCAAGCCCCCAAGUGACUUACUGUCGUGGCUUUUGAGCCAGCCAAGAGGUGUAGCUAUGGGUUGAAUACAACCAAGCCCCCAAGUGACUUACUGUCGUGGCUUUUGAGCCAACCAAGAGGUGUAGCUAUGGUUUGAAUACAACCAAGCCCCCAAGUGACUUAUAUUGAAUAGACAGCUGUAAAGCUGAAUCAAAGGGUAAACCGGAUGUCGCUUCACAAACAGAAUCCUCCGUGUAACCACUCAUGAUAUGAGAAGAACAGCAGAUACCCCGCUUUAGCUGGGGCUCCGGUUUAUUAUAUUGAUCAUAAUAUAUACAUCAUCAAAAUAUGUACAUGAUAGGAGCCUAUGGCUCAGGUGUAGUACGGCUGUAGAUGAGCUAUGUUCCAUGGCCGGAUCGUCUCCUCCUCUGACUUGCGUGAGUCUUUAUGCUCUCGAACAUCAAUGAGGUAAUAUGAUCCGUUGUUCAGAUUCUUGCUGACCACAAAGGGCCCUUCCCAAGGCGGGGAUAACUUGUGCAUAUCGGUCUGAUCUUGGAUAAGCUGGAGCACUAGAUCGCCUUCUUGAAAAGUUCUGGUUUUAACCCGACUGUGAUAACGUCGCAGGUCUUGCUGAUAAAUCGCCCAGCGAGCCGCCGCUACGUCCCGUUUCUCAUGCAACAGGUCCAACGCAUCCUGGCGUGCUCUUUCAUUAUCCGCUUCAAUAUAAGCUGCCACUCGUGGUGAGUCAUGACGAAUAUCACUUGGAAGGACAGCUUCCGCUCCAUAAACCAUGAAGAAGGGUGUAUAACCCGUAGAUCUAUUGGGGGUGGUGUUAAUGCUCCAUAAAACGGAAGGCGGCUCUUCAACCCAACAACCCGGUGUCCUCUGCAAAGGAACCAUAAGCCGGGGCUUGAUCCCCUUCAAGAUUUCCUGAUUAGCUCUCUCCGCUUGACCAUUAGACUGGGGGUGGGCCACUGAAGACACAUCGAGACGGAUGUGCUCUCUUUGACAGAACUCCUCCAUAGCACCCUUGGAAAGAUUCGUGCCAUUGUCUGUUAUAAUGCUGUGUGGAAAACCAAAAUGGAAUAUCACCUUCUUCAUAAAUUGAACCGCCGUGGCUGCAUCACAUUUGCUAACUGGUUCUGCCUCCACCCACUUGGUAAAUUUAUCAACCGCAACCAAGAGGUGGGUCUUCUUAUCCUUAGACCUCUUAAAGGGUCCAACCAUAUCAAGCCCCCAGGUUGCAAACGGCCAGGUAAUUGGAAUCAUCCUCAGCUCCUGAGCCGGAACAUGAGCCCGGCGUGCAAACUUCUAACAACCAUCGCACCUUUUGACCAAGUCCUCAGCAUCAGCAUGAGCCGUCAGCCAAUAGAAACCGUGACGAAAAGCCUUAGCCACCAGGGACUUUGAACCGGCAUGAUGACCACAAUCACCUUCAUGAAUCUCGCGUAAAAUUUCACGACCUUCUUCAGGAGAAACACAACGUUGAAAAGCCCCUGAGACACUGCAAUGAUGUAGCUCGCCAUUGACAAUAGUCAUGGACUUGGAACGCCGGAUUAUCUGCCUGGCCAGAACUUCAUCCUCUGGUAACUCACCCCGGUUCAUAUAUGCCAAACAUGGGAUCGUCCAAUCCGGGGUGACAUGAAGUGCCGCCACCAACUGAGCCUCCGGAUCAGGAAUAGCUAAGUCCUCCUCCGUGGGUAACUUGACCGACGGGUUAUGCAAAACAUCAAGAAAAACAUUGGGCGGCACCGGUUUACGCUGGGAGCCCAACCGGCUUAAAGCGUCCGCCGCUUCAUUCUUUCGCCGGUCUACAUGAUCAACCUGAUAACCCUUGAAAUGACCUGCAACGAUAUCCACCUCUCGACGAUACGUUGCCAUGAGGGGGUCCUUGGAAUCCCAAGUACCAGAAACUUGUUGAGCCACUAGGUCCGAGUCACCAAAACAUUUAACCCGGCUCAGAUUCAUCUCCUUAGCCAUCUGGAGACCAUGGAGCAGGGCCUCGUACUCAGCUGCAUUAUUAGUACAAGGAAACAUCAAGCAGAGAACAUAACAAAAUUUGUCACCUCGAGGGGAAGUAAGAACCACUCCAGCCCCCGAGCCCUCCAAUUUCCUGGAUCCGUCGAAAUGAAUCGUCCAGUAUGUGUUGUCCGGUCUAUCCUCCGGCGCCUGCAAUUCUGUCUAGUCAUUGAUGAAAUCCACGAGUGCUUGGGACUUGAUGGCCGUGCGAGGCAUAUAUUUUAAUCCGUGAGGCCCAAGCUCGAUAGCCCACUUAGCAACCCGGCCAGUCGCUUCUCUGUUCUGGAUGAUAUCUCCCAAAGGAGCAGAACUGACCACAGUAAUGGGAUGGCCCUGAAAGUAUUGUUUCAGCUUCCGGCUUGCCAUAAAAACCCCAUAUACAAGCUUCUGCCAAUGUGGAUAUCUCUGUUUUGACUCAAUGAGCACCUCACUGAUAUAAUAAACCGGCCGUUGAACCGGAUACUCCUUUCCUGCCUCCUUGCGCUCCACCACAAUAGCCACGCUGACAGCCCGAGCAUUAGCAGCCACAUAUAAUAGCAAUGGUUCCUUGUCCAUGGGAGCAGCAAGAACAGGUGGUCCGGCAAGCUGCCGCUUUAGAGCCUCAAACGCUUCAUUAGCCGCAUCACUCCAGACAAAGUUGUCCAUUUUCUUCAGCAUUUGAUAUAAAGGGAUGGCCUUCUCCCCGAGAUGACUUAUAAAACGGCUCAAUGCUGCAAUCCGGCCUGCCAAUCUCUGAACAUCAUUGAUGCACUUCGGUUUAGCCAGUGAAGUAAUAGCCUUGAUCUUCUCCGGAUUAGCUUCAAUGCCCCUGUUAGACACCAGAAAACCCAAAAGCUUGCCUGCUGGCACACCAAAAACACACUUGGCUGGGUUGAGCAUCAUCUUAUAAACCCGGAGGUUAUCAAAGGUCUCCUUUAAGUCAUCUAUUAAUGUUUCCUCCUUCCUGGACUUCACCACAAUAUCAUCCACAUAAGCAUGAACGUUGCGCCCAAUCUGGUUAUGAAGACAAUUCUGAACACAACACUGAUAAGUUGCCUGGGCACUCUUGAGCCCAAAGGGCAUAGACACAUAGCAGAAGGCUCCAAAGGGAGUUAUAAAAGCUGUCUUCUCCUAGUCCUUAACUGCCAUCUUAAUCUGAUGAUAACCUGAAUAAGCAUCCAGAAAACUCAAACGCUCACAACCCGCCGUAGCAUCAAUGAUUUGAUCGAUAUGGGGGAGGGCAAAAGGAUCAGUCGGACACGCUUUGUUCAAAUCCGUGUAAUCCACACACAUACGCCAGGUGCCAUUCUUCUUAAGCACCAGCACCGGAUUAGCCAACCACUCCGGAUGAAAAACUUCAACAAUGAACCCUGCCGCCAAGAGCCGGGCUACCUCCUCACCAAUAGCCUUGUGCCUCUCUUCAUUGAGCCGGUGAAGGAAUUGUCGGACCGGUUUAAACUUGGGAUCAAUAUUAAGGGUGUGCUCAGCGAGUUCCCUCGGUACACCUGGCAUGUCAGAAGGCUUCCAUGCAAAGAUAUCCCGAUUCUCACGGAUGAAUUCGAUGAGCGCGCUUUCCUAUUUCGGAUCCAGAUUUGCACUGAUGAUGAACUGUUUGGAUGAAUCGUCGGGCACAAAAUCAACCAUCUUAGUCUCAUCAGCCGAUUUAAACUUCAAGGCCGGAUCAUGCUCCGUGGUUGGUUUCUUCAAAGAAGUCAUGUCCGCCAGAUCAACCUUGUCUUUAUAGAACUUCAACUCCUCUGCUGCACAAACCGACUCAGCAUAGGCCGCAUCACCUUCCUCACACUCCAAAGCGAUCUUGCGGCUUCCAUGUACUGUGAUAGUCCCUUUAUGACCCGGCAUCUUGAGCUGCAGAUAAACAUAACAGGGUCGUGCCAUGAACUUAGCAUAAGCCGUCCGUCCAAACAGGGCAUGAUACGGGCUUUGGAUUUUCACCACUUCGAAAGUCAAUGUCUCUGAUCUUGAGUCAUACUCAUCUCCAAAAGCGACUUCCAGAGCUAUUUUACCAACCGGAUAGGCUGAUUUGCCAGGCACUACACCAUGGAAAACAGUGUUCGACGGUUUAAGAUUCUUAUCUGUCAACCCCAUACGACGGAAGGUGUCAUAAUAUAAGAUGUUGAUACUGCUGCCUCCGUCCAUGAGCACCUUAGUGAACUUAUAACCUCCAACCUGAGGCGCCACCACCAACGCCAAAUGACCCGGAUUGUCAACCCGGGGCGCGUGAUCCUCUCGGCUCCAGACAAUAGGCUGCUCAGACCAUCGCAAAUAACGAGGCACUGCCGGUUCAACCGAGUUCACCGCCUGUUUAUGAAGCUUCUGAUCGCGUUUGCAUAAGCUGGUGGUGAAAACGUGGUACUGUCCACUAUUCAACUGCUUUGGGUGACUUUGGUACCCUGACUGUUGCUGUUGCGGUCCUUGUUGGUUAUAACCACCCUGGUUGCUCUGAUUGCCUUGAUUGCCAUGUCCACCCUGAUUGCCUUGGAAUCCUGAACCGGAGUUGCCUCCUCCAUAACCCGGCCCAUAGGACCCGGGUCCUGAACCGCCGGAUGGUCCAUGAUCAUUCCGGAAGAGAUCUGAAUUUUUGAAUUCUCGCAUGAUAUAACAAUCUUUCCAGAGGUGUGUGGCCGGUUUGUCCUGCGUUCCAGGAUGCUUCGGGCAGGGCUGGUUCAACAGGUAAUUCAGGCGCUCCGGAUUAGGACUGGGCUCUGCCCUUCUUGGGGGCGGCUUUCCUUUACGACGCUGACCAUUACCCUGUGUAUUGGUGUUAGCCACAAAAUCUGAAUUAUGAUCUGCUUUCCGCUUACCAUUAUUAUUGUGGCCUGUCGGGUUAUGUUGCUGCCCCUUGGCGUUGCCGCUCUUCUUUCCCUUCCCUGGUUUGUCAUCGUCAGACUCGGGGUCCUUGGUACUAUCAGAAUCAGCAUACUUAACCAGAGCAGCCAUAAGUGUUCCCAUGUCAUUGCAGUGACGCUUGAGCCGUCCCAACUUCAACUUUAAAGGAUGAAACCGACAAUUCCCCUCCAAUGUUAUAAUCGCCGAGUCGGCAUUGAUGCGAUCCGAAGAAUGUAAGAUCUCUGAAACCCGGCACACCCAACGGGUUGUUGACUCGCCUUCUCCCUGAACGAAGGCGGCUAAGUCCACAAUUGACAUAGGUUGCUUGCACGUGUCUUUGAAGUUUGCUAUAAACCGGGCUUUUAACUCAGCCCAUGUCCCAAUGGAAUUAACCGGUAAGCUUUUCAACCACGUGCGAGCUGUUCCAUCCAACAUCAUAGCGAAAUAUUUCGCGCAGGCCUCUUCAUCCACGUCUAACAUCUCCAUAGCCAUCUCAUAACUCUCAAUCCAUGACUCGGGAGGCACAUCAGCGGUGUAAUUAGGCACCUUACGGGGGCCCUUGAAAUCCUUGGGCAGCCGUACAUUGCGCAAAGCCGGGACGAGGCAGGGCACCCCCCAAGAGCUGAAAGUAAGGCCUUGCUCUACGGAAGCCACCGGACGAACCAGAGUGAGCUGACGGUCCUGCGCUGCUAACUCGGCUUCUCGACGUGCUCCGUUGUUCACCACAUCUUGGGCAUUUGCCCCACCACGCGCCGGAUUAGGUCCUCGAGGAGCGUCUCGGUUCCGCGCACUGCUUGACACAGCCAGUUCAUCGAUGUGCCUGCUAUAACUCCGGCUCGGGCGUGGGGUUGAAUGAAUUCUGUCUCGGCUGUAUGAAUAAGCCUGCUGCUGUACCAUAGCCGUCUGAAGAAGAUCCCUAGCACGCCGCGUCUCAACCGCCGCUGGGGAUUCACCCUCCAUUGGAAUAGCGGCUAAUCGUGAUGCGGCAGCGAUCAUAUUAUCCAAAGGGGUGGAGAAGUGACCCGGCGGCGUCGGUACAAUCUGCAGCGGGUUAUGGGUCCGUUGAGGGGGAUCUGUCACCCGUGCCUGAUCCGGUGCUUCGGUCCUCGGCGCCUCAAUCCGGUUCACCGCUGCCGGAUUACUGGUUCCUGCUCCCGGCGUGCCAAAGAGAUUCAUUGCCUCAUAAACUGGUGGUAGUCGUGACCGAUGCCUUCUCCUUAACACGUCGUUUGAAGCGUUCUGAUCCAACAGGAGUCGAUAAUUUUCCGCCUGAAUCCGCUGUGCUUGUGCCUCUAAAGCGGCCCGUUCCUCAGCUAUCCUGGUUUCUUCAGCCGCUAAGUCCUCCUUAGCUUGAGUUAUCUGAUCCUGCAGCUUAGCCACCUCCGCAUUAUGUUGAUCUUGCGUGUCGGCGGUAACUCGUGUGGUCAAUAAGGUCGUCCAGGCGUCCAAUAAAUCGGACAAGAUUUGGGCCGGCCGGCGCGCGGGGCCUCCCGCCCCAGCUGCCGAUCCGGAAAUUAUUGCUGCCGCGGUUGAAGAAUGCAACGUGGGCUGAGUUCCAGCCAUGAAGAUCGCAACCCGGUUUGCCGGUUCAAAGGGGUCCGGAAUACUGUCGCCGUCGGAAUAGCCCCCAAAUUGGCCAUCUUGCAGUUGGUACAGUGACUCGGUCUCCCCGGUGGACGACGCGUCAUCUGAGUAGACGACGGUCUCGCCAUCGGACGCCGGUUCAAGUUCCGCACCAUUGAUGAAUCCUACGAACGCACGCUUCACGGCGGGUUGAACCCGGGCAGGGCUUGCACGCUGAGCCGUCUCGACGAGGUCGGUGCAGAUGUCCGGCUCAGGGCCCGGUUCGCCGAUCUUGCUGAUGAAGACGUGAAUUCCUCCAAAGGGGACCCGGUACCCGUACUCGAUUGAGCUGGCUUCGGGGCCCCAGCCUGCGUUGUCGAUGUAGAGUUUGCCGCGACGACUCUUGGUCAUCCGGCCCACGGCGUAUCCCUUGAGCCCUUCAAAAUUGCCCUUCAAGAACUCGAAACCAUCGCGCGAUAGCCCCACGGUGGGCGCCAACUGUCGUGGAAUUGUCACGGCAGAUGUCCUAGCGAAAGGACUUAGUCGUGGAGCCAUCGCAACGGGUUAGCUUAAAGAGGUUAAACCGGACAAGGGACACAAGAGUUUUAUACUAGUUCGGCCCCUUACGAUGAAGGUAAAAGCCUACAUCUAGUUGUGAUGGAAUGGCUGGGGUUUCGAUGACCAGGGAGCGAAUACGCUUUGCCUGAGUCUCGAGUUGUUGUUUUUUUGUCCUUGAACCGCCGUCGGGUCGUGCCUUUAUAUACACAGGUCGACGCCCGCCGGCUUACAGAGUCCCGAUGCCGGUUUAUACACAUACCGGCUCGGUCUCUACUUUGUCGUACCUUACAAUACAAGUCAUGUACUAUAUGGCGGUUUAUAGCUACAUGCCUUAAUCUACCUUUGGGCCUUGGGCCUUUGAGUCUCUGUAGUAAACCGCUUUAUUCCUUAUCUUCAUGGGCUUUUAAGUAUAACAAUCCAUUAUGGGGAUAACCCGGCUUCCUUGGCCGGUUUACACCUAGUAGUAAUAUCCCCAACAGCGCCGGAACGCUGUCGUGGCCAUCAUCAUCACCGCAAUCUUCACCAACAACUUCACCGCCAUCAUCACCAACUCUUCCCCCCUCUAUGCAGUGGUGUAACCUCUCUCUUACCCGCUGUAAUCUCUACUUAAACAUGGUGCUCAACGCUAUAUAUUAUUUCCCAAUGAUGUAUGGCUAUCCUAUGAUGUUUGAGUAGAUCCGUUUUGUCCUAUGGGUUUCUUGAUGAUCAAGAUUGGUUUGAGUUGCAUGUUUUAUUAUUGGUGCUGUCCUAUGGUGCUCUCCGUGUCGCACAAGCGUGAGGGAUUCCCGCUGUAGGGUUUGCAAUAUGUUCAUGAUUUGCUUAUGGUGGGUGGCGUGAGUGACAGAAGCACAGACCCGAGUAAGUAGGUUGUUUGCGUAUGGGAUAAAGAGGACUUGAUGCUUUAAUGCUAUGGUUGGGUUUUACCUUAAUGAUCUUUAGUAGUUGCGGAUGCUUGCUAGAGUUCCAAUCAUAAGUGCAUAUGAUCCAAGUAGAGAAAGUAUGUUAGCUUAUGCCUCUCCCUCAAAUAAAAUUGCAAUAAUGAUUACCGGUCUAGUUAUCGACUGCCUAGGGACAAAUAACUUUCUCAUGACAAAAAGCUCUCCACUAAAACUAACUUAGUUGUGUAUUCAUCUAAACAGCCCCUAGUUUAUAUUUACGUGCUCUUUACUUUCUUGCAAACCUAUCCAACAACACCUACAAAGUACUUCUAGUUUCAUACUUGUUCUAGGUAAAGCGAACCUUAAGCGUGCGUAGAGUUGUAUCGGUGGUCGAUAGAACUUGAGGGAAUAUUUGUUCUACCUUUAGCUCCUUGUUGGGUUCGACACUCUUACUUAUCGAAAGAGGCUACAAUUGAUCCCCUAUACUUGUGGGUUAUCAAGACCUUUUUCUGGCGCCGUUGCCGGGGAGCAAUAGCGUGGGGUGAAUAUUCUCAUGUGUGCUUGUUUGCUUUAUCACUAAGUAAUUUUUAUUUGCUGUUCUUAGUUGUUGUUUAUCUUUACUUAUGGAUAUGGAACACGAAAUACCAAAAAAAUUAGGUGUACGUGCUACUCAUGGAGAUGGGGAACCUCCUAAAACCCUCGAUGCUCAUUAUGUGAAAGAUAUUAUGUACUACUUUGAUAAUCCCGAGAAAACCCCAUUCAAUUAUGUAAUGGGAUACACGUUGGAUCAACGUGAAUACUUUAGGGAUUAUCGCUUGACUCAAAAAGGGAAACUAUUAUGGGAUCAAAUUCAUAUGUUGAAGUGGUAUGCUAGGCAACUAUGCUUGAGAUAUGAUUAUACUUGUUGCUCUAGGAUGAAGUCUCCACACCUUCCCUUUUCAUGCGAAUUUAAUGAUAAUGAAACCUUGGCUUCUUAUGCUAGAGGUAUAUAUGAUUACUAUGAUGUGGAACAAAUAGAAGAAUUUGUUGCUUUUAUGGGUGCUUAUGAAAUUGAAUCUAUGUUCAAAGAGUUUGAAAAUCUUUAUGAUGCUGUUUAUAGACCUGAAAAUUUAGCUAUCCUUAAAAUUUGCUAUGCCAAUUAUGAAUUCAGUUCCGAUAUUGAUGCAUUUAUUGAGAAAGUCUCCGCUGUCCAAGAAGAGACUAAUAUUUUGCAAGAGUCUUUGGAAGAAGAAAUUGAUGAAACUAUGAGCUCAUUGGAUGAAAAAGAUGAUGAGGAGAGCGAAGAACAAAAGGAGGAAGAGCGGAUUAGCUACCCGUGCCCACCUUCUAAUGAGAGUAACUCUUCAACUCAUACAUUGUUUAAUUUCCCUUCGUGCUUACCGAAGGAUGAUUGCUAUGAUGACUAUUAUGAUCCCGUUGAUUCUCUUGAAAUAUCCCUUUUUGAUGAUGCUUGCUAUGCUUGUGGCCAAGAUGCCAAUAUGAAUUAUGCUUAUGGAGAUGAACUUGCUAUAGUUCCUUAUGUUAAACAUGAAAUUGUUGCUAUUGCACCCACGCAUGAUAGUCCUAUUAUCUUUUUGAAUUCUCCAAACUACACUAUAUCGGAGAAGUUUGUGCUUAUUAAGGAUUAUAUUGAUGGGUUGCCUUUUACUACUACACAUGAUGAUUUUGAUGAGUAUAAUAUGCAUGUGCUUACUGCUCCUACUUGCAAUUAUUAUGAGAGAGGAACUAUAUCUCCACCUCUCUAUGUUUCCCACAUGACAAAAUUGCAAGAAACUGUUUAUAUUAUGCAUUGGCCUUUACUUUGUGUGCAUGAAUUGUUCUUUUAUGACAUGCCGAUGCAUAGGAAGAGAGUUAGACUUCGUUGUUGCAUGAUAUAUGUUGCCUUGUGCUCACUACUAAAUGCCAAAUCAUUGCUAAUUAAAAUUGGCUUUGAUAUACCUUGGGAUCCGGGUGGGUUCACUACUUGAGCACUAUAUGCCUAGCUUAAUGGCUUUAAAGAAAGCGCUGCCAGGGAGACAACCCGGAAGUUUUAGAGAGUCAUUUGUUUCUGUUGAGUGCUUUCAUAUAGUUUAAAAACAAAAAAAUAAAGAGGGGAACCCGAAACUCUUCAAAAAGAAAAGCGAAAGUGAGAAAGACGAGCAUUGUUGAAGUGGGAGCUAGCCUUGAACUUUGUUCAUGCUCACGGAAACUUUGUGAAUCUUGAUUACAGAAACUUUUCAACAAAAAUAAUUAUCCCCUUGUACAAUUCCAUUUUAUUAUAAAAAUAAUGUGCCAAGGUUUGCCUUUAGGAUGUUUACAAUGCUUGUUGGUUUGUACGGUGCAGGACAGAAACUUUGGCUGUAGUGCUCGAUUUUACAUUUUUUACUGGAACGUCAAAUGGUUCUGAUUCUUUUUGAACUGUCUUUCUAUAUAAAUUUUUUAUUUUUCCUAAUUUUGGCAGAAUUUUUCAAGUACCAUAAGUAUGGUGAAUGUUCAGAUUAUUACAGACUGUUCUGUUUUAGACAGAUUCUGUUUUUGAUGCAUAGUUUGCUUGUUUUGAUGAAACUAUCGAUUUAUAUCAGUGGAUUAAGCCAUGGAAAAGUUAUAUUACAGUAGCUACAAUGCCAAAACAAAAUAUGAAUUGGUUUGCAACAGUACUUAGAGUAGUGAUUUGCUUUAUUAUACUAACGGAUCUUACCGAGUUUUCUGUUGAAGUUUUGUGUGGAUGAAGUGUUCGAUGAUCGAGAAGGUCUCGAUGUGAGAAGAAGGAAGAGAGGCAAGAGCUCAAGCUUGGGGAUGCCCGAGGCACCCCAAGUAAAUAUUCAAGGAUACUCAAGCGUCUAAGCUUGGGGAUGCCCCGGAAGGCAUCCCCUCUUUCUUCAACAAGUAUCGGUAUGUUUUCGGAUUCGUUUCGUUCAUGCGAUAUGUGCAAAUCUUGGAGCGUCUUUUGCUUUAGUUUUCAUUUUUCUUUCAUGCACCAUGCUGGUAUGAGAUAUUACUUGGUUGAUUUAUAGAAUGCUCAUUGCACUUCACUUAUAUCUUUUGAGUAUGGCUUUAUAGAAUGCUUCAUGUGCUUCACUUAUAUCAUUUGAAGUUGGGAUUGCCUGUUUCUCUCCACUUAGAAAACCGCCAUUUGUAGAAUGCUCUUUUGCUUCACUUAUAUUUGUUAGAGCGUGGGCAUAUCUUUUGUAGAAAGAAUUAAACUCUCUUGCUUCACUUAUAUCUAUUUAGAGAGAUGACAGGAACUGGUCAUUCACAUGGUUAGUCAUAAAAUCCUACAUAAACUUGUAGAUCACUGAAUAUGAUAUGUUUGAUUCCUUGCAAUAGUUUUGUGAUAUAAAUAUGGUGAUAUUAGAGUCAUGCUAGUGGGUAGUUGUGGAUUGUAGAAAUACUUGUGUUGAAGUUUGUGAUUCCCGUAGCAUGCACGUAUGGUGAACCGUUAUGUGAUGAAGUCGGAGCAUGAUUUAUUUAUUGAUUGUCUUCCUUAUGAGUGGCGGUUGGGGACGAGCGAUGGUCUUUUCCUACCAAUCUAUCCCCCUAGGAGCAUGCGCGUAGUACUUUGUUUCGAUAACUAAUAGAUUUUUCCAAUAAGUAUGUGAGUUAUUUAUGACUAAUGCUGAGUCCAUGGAUUAUACGCACUCUCACCCUUCCACCAUUGCUAGCCUCUCUAGUACCGCGCAACUUUCGCCGGUACCAUAAACCCACCAUAUACCUUCCUCAAAAUAACCACCAUACCUACCUAUCAUGGCAUUUCCAUAGCCAUUCCGAGAUAUAUUGCCAUGCAACUUCCAUCAUCAUCAUAUACAGGACUCGAGAAUUCAUUGUCAUAUUGCUUUGCAUGAUCGUAAGAUAGCUAGCAUGAUAUUUUCAUGGCUUGUACGUUUUUUUGAUAUAUUUGCUACGCUAGAUCAUUGCACAUCCCGGUACACCGCCGGAGGCAUUCAUAUAGAGUCAUAUCUUUGUUCUAGUAUCGAGUUGUAAUAUUGAGUUGUAAGUAAAUAAAAAGUGUGAUGAUCAUCAUUAUUAGAGCAUUGCCCCAGUGAGGAAAGGAUGAUGGAGACUAUGAUUCCCCCAUAAGUCGGGAUGAGACUCCGGACUUUACAAAAAAUAAAAGAGGCCAAAGAAUCCCAAAUAAAAAAAGAGGCCAAAGAAGCCCACCAAAAAAAUAAAAAAAAUAAAA
rnacentral:lncRNA from 1 species